rnacentral:lncRNA from 1 species
UUUUUUUUUUUUUUUUGCAUUUGUACAAGGAAAUAGUUAUUCUUGUCUAUUAACAAUACAUGUUACAAAAGAUAGACUUUUCUACAGCAAUUGUGUAUAAAAAUUUCAGUAGUCUAUAUUUCUAUUUCCGCGAUAUUGUACAACUUUCUAGUAGAGAAGAAAGAACCAAAAUUUGAUUUCCAUCUUAAGACUCGUAUCAGCUUUAGGCAAUAAUCUCAUCUGCCAUGCAUUCCCUGAAUUUCACCUCUGCUUUGCCCGUGUUGUCAACGCGGACAAUAUCACAGCACUCCGAUAUAUGGAUCUGUGAAAUAAAAAAAAAUAAGAAAUAUGAUAUGUACAGUUUUCAUCAGAUAUUAGACUCAUUUAUUAAGAUGUACUAUAAAAUCUUUUUUGGUUUUACUAAAAAUAUUUAAGAAUAAUACUUUGAUUGUGAUGUUGGCAUUUUUUUCGCUCUAAAAUUUGGGAUAAUUUCAGAAACCUCACCUGAGGUUUCUAAUAAUUUCACUAGCCUCCCCUGAAAUUUGUAAAAUUAUACAAACCUCUCCUGAGGUUAAGGUUUUGAUAACAAAAUUAGUCCAAUUAGAAAAAGUAACAUUAAAAAAGUACUUUAAGGAGAGAGAUGAAACUUUUGUUCCAUAAAUACUCCUUAUACAUGUAUAUAAGUUGUAUUAGUAAAAGAAUAAAAAUAAUUAAAAGUUAAAGUUAAUUAAUACACAUAUUUUACCACUCAAAAAGUUCACAAUUAAUAAAUUAAAUAUCACAAAUAAGCAACAAAACUACACUAAUGAUCACAAGAUUUAACAAAACAGACUAGUCAUCUCUUUUAACAUAAUGUUUGCUAUGAUUCUUAUGAUUUUGAAUAGAAAAAAUAAUUUUGCCUUUUUUUCCCUCCAUUCUCCUUUACUAAUAUCUAAGAUUAAGUAAUUAGAGCACUAAUUAACUAUUAGUAACUAAUUAAUAAAAAUAACUAUUGAAAAUUUCUUUAAUGAUGGAUGAUAGCUUGUAUAUACAAAAUAACAUCAAUUGAUAUAUCUAAUGGAGGAAGGAGGGAAAAAAAAGGCAAAUUUCAAAAAAAAUUUCUUUUUUUUUUAAUGGCAAAGUCCCAUUCACAGGGAAGGGGUGGGGUGCCAGCCCUACAAUUUAUUAAAACAUUCAGAAGAAUACAAGGAAAGAGAUGACUAUUUUAUUUUGUUGAAUCUUGUGAUUAUUAGCGUAGUUUUGUUGCUUAUUUGUGUUGUCUAAAUUAGUAAAUAUGAACUUUUUGAGUGAUAAAAUGUGUGUAUUAAUUGUUUCUGACUUUUAAUUGUUUUUAUUUUUUUUACUAAUAUAACUUAUAUUCAUGUAUAAGGGGUAUUUAUGAAAUAAAAGUUUCAUCUUUCUCCUUAAAGUACUUUUUUAAUGUUACUUUUUUUAAUUGGACUAAUUUUGUUAUCAAACCUUAACCUCAGGGGAGGUUUGUGUCAUUUUACAAACUUCAGGGAGACUAGUAAAAUUGUCAAAAACCUCAAGGGAGGUUUCUAAAAUUAUCCCCUAAAAUUUUUCUAAGCAAGAAUAAGCUUUCAUGGAACUUUCUUUUAGAUCAGACAUUGGAUUACACGUUAGUUUAAAAAACUAAUUAGUUCAAAUAAAGAUGAACCAAUUGCAGUUUGUACACUCAACUUUUUCUAUAUUUUGGUUCUCACAUGGUAUUGUGCAUUUAUUUUUAACUUAAGUUAUAACCCAUAUAACCUUUCUAGAAUGAAAUACUUCUACAGUAGUCAGCUCUUUUGAUAAUAAAAGAAGCAAACGAAUAAUGAUUAUUGGCAGAAACUGUGAAAACAAUCAACAGAAGCAAUAGAUAUUUAUUUUUUCCUACCAAAAAAAAAUUUGUGCACGACAUAUAUACCUUAUUAAAGUUUAUUAGGAAAUUUCAUAACAAAAGUCACUGGUUAAAUUAAUAACUUUAUCAUGAAACUUCGAGAAAACAUUUUCUUUAAUUUUAAAUUUUUGAUAUAUUUAAUUCUUCUAUCCAGCAAACAAGAAUCAUAUUAAUCCACUAAUAUCUAGAUAAAAGGAUUUUUUUUUUUUUACAAAUUGAAACAGCGGUCCUUCAUGUUUGCAAAUGAUCUUAUUUUUGCUCUCUUACAUGAAAGAAUUUGAUCCCUUACAUAUUUAAACUCUAAUAUUCGGGUUUCAGGUAAUCUUAAUUUGUAGUGAUAAUUAGAUAACCUCACGCCAUGUGAAAUGGUAUACGAGUUAUGAUAGCAUUCUGGAAUAUUGCACAAAACGCCCCUUAUGUUUUGCAGUUUGAUUUUCUCUCCCAAACUUUUAUAACGACUUAGCUACAUUCCUCGGGAACAUGAAAUGCACUAAGUUGGUGUGAAACUGUUUUUCUGAUCAUUUUUUAACUAGGGCCAUCACAAGACUUACAUGUAACGAAAUUCAUGGGGACAAAAAGGUCAACUCAUGAAUCUUAAUCUAGCCGUAUAACUUGAUAUACCAAAUUGAGAAAACUGCACAAAACAUGCCUUACGUUUUACACCAUAGGGAAAAUUUCAGAAAUCUCCUCUGAGGUUUCUGACAAUUUCACUAAGCUCCCAUGAGGUUUGAAAAAUUACACAUAUCUCCCUUGAUUUUAUAGUUUUAGUAACAGAACCUGACAAUAAUAUUGACUUGGUCAAUUUUUUAAAUGAAUACCCAAAAAUGCCCUUGUGUAAUGAGUUUUAAUUUACUUUCCUAUACAAUUAUAAGAUUAUUUAGUAUAAUUAUAAGAAAAGGUGCCAAUUUUUUUAUGUCCAUGCCUACUAUUUGAUAAACAACUGUAAUAAUAAUUUUAUCAUUGUGAUAGAAUAUUAUUUUAUUAUGAAUUUAAAUUUAUAAGAUAGAAAAAAAAUAUUGAAAUAAUUCAUUUAGAGUUUAUGAAUUUCGAGUAAUGGGAUUAUCAUGAUUUAAUAGUGAUUUUGGGCCACUUCCUUUUGAUUUAUUGUUAAUUUUAAUACCAAUAAUAGCAAACAAAAAUCAGCAAAAACAUUGGAUUCCAUAUAAAGUUGAUUCAUCAAAAAAAUCACUAAUUCGACAUUUGGUUACAAUAGAAACUAGAGGUAAUAAUGGUAGUUCUACAAUUUUAUUAGCAAAAAAUUAAAAAAAGAGAAAUAAGAAGGAAAAAUAAUAAAAAAUAAUUUUAAAAGUCAUUUUAAGUAUAAACAUACCAAACAAGAGAAUUUCAUUAAAAUAUUUAAGAUUAGUAUUAUCAUUUUAAAUGACAAGGGAGGUAAGUGUAAUUUUUAAAAGGUCGUGAGCGCUAAAUGAAAUUGUUGAAAACCUCAAGGGAGGUUUCUCAAAUUAUCCCUUUACCGUAUGACUUUUUUUUCCUCACACUUUUAAAAUGAUAUAUUACGUUCAUCACAAACAGAAAUGCACCAAGUUGGUAUGGAACUGUUCUUUCUGAUCAUUUUUCACCUAUGUAAUGAAAUUCAAGGAGGCAAAAAGGUCAAAUAAAGAAUUCUUAUCCAGCCACUUGAUUCGAUACAUCGCAAUCAACUAGAAGGCGGCUUAGGUUCAAGCAAACUCGGAGCACGUGGGCGGGUCAAAGUUUUCAAUUUGACAUUUUUGGCUGCUUAAAAUUCAUCAAAUGUGAGUCUUUGACAACUUCAAAGAGAAAAGUGAUAUGAAUUACUAGAUUUCAAGACCAAAUUGGUGCAUUUUACUUUUCUAAGGGAAUAUAUAUAUAUAUAUAUAUAAUAAAAAUGGGACACAAAUAUAUCGUUUUAAAUGUAAGGAAUCAUAAAAUUCAAAUUUGAGAAUGUUAAACACGUUGAUUUUUUUUUUUGAAGGAACACGUAGAUAUUGAAACUAUAGAAACGAUAGUAGUCACAUACUUAACAACUUUAUCUUGAUUGGCUAAAUGAUCAAUCUUCAAUAUCAGUUUCUUUUGAAAAUUUUAGUCAUUUAAAUUAGCUAGAGUUUAAGAUUAUGCAGAUGGAUAAAUUGACAGUAGAAAUACUGAAUAAGACAUUUUUCCCUGGCUUUGAUUUUUAUCUUGGUGAAACAUUGAUUACAAACAGAAUCUAAUUUAGCUAGAUUCUUAUUUGCAUAUGUUAAAGAGGUUCUCUAGGAAAUAUUAAGAUAAGAUUGUAAAUAAUGAAGGAGAUGAUUAAAUUCCAUUAAAACAAAUUGUAUUAAAUAUAGCAAUUGCCACAUCAUCUCUUUACAAGGAUGGGAAAGGAAACUAAAUACCACAUCAUUUUAUAAGGAUGGAAAAGGAAAAUAAAUACCACAUCAUGAGUCUAUGUUGGAAGUUAUAUGCUGGGUGAUGUGUAAAAAAUUAGGACUAACAUCACUUUGCAUCCUUAAACUUGUAUCAUUUUCUCACUUUGCACUAUAAAUUUUAAUUUUGGACACUUUAAACCUUAAACUCACAAGUUUUUUGUCCUACUUAAAUCAGAUCAAUAAAUCACUUUUGCAAAAUUAAUGAGACAAAGAAUUGUGAAGAUUAACGAAAAUAUACCAUUUUAUUCUAACUACAAUCCCUUAGUUUUUCUUUAUCACUUUCGGCAUGUUGUCAUUGAUUUAUAUGGUUUCAGUCACUAAUAUUGUGAGCAAAUUAAUGAGAUAAAAGAUAGCACAAACUAACCAUAGUGUAUUAUUUUAUUUUUUGUUACGAUAUCUUGAUACCUUUUGACCACUUUUGGUACAUUGUUAUUGAUUUGCUGGGUCCUCUAUAUCAUUAGUUUUACUAAAAUUGUCAUUGAUUGAAUUUAAAUGGGACAUACUUGAGAGUUUAGAGUCCAAAUUAUCCAAAAUUGAGAAUUUAUGGUGCAAAGUAUUGAAAAUUAAAAUUAGAGUGCAAAGUAAAGAAUUCAUACAAAUUCCGAGGUGUUAAGUGUAGUUCGUCCUUGAAAUCAUGAUCUGUAUCAUUACUUUUAGAGGAGAAUGGAGAAUUAGGUCAUCCAUCUUUAUGGGCAUAUUUCUGAUCCAUUUUUGCAAUAGUAAAUUAAUAAAUUUAAAUGAAUUUUUUCCAGCUGGAACCUAGUUGAUGUUUGUCUUUGGUCAAUUAACUAAUGUAAGAUACAAGCUUAGUAUUGGUUGUUUUGUAGAAUAUGUAGUAGGAAACGUAUCCUAUCAAACGUUGUUGCGUGUUUGUCGGAUUCUAUUGAAAACAACUGGUACUUAAUCCUAAUUGAUAUCUUCUUCUGUGUUUUUUAUUCAGUAUUUUACUAUUAAAAGUGGAAUUUCUUUGAUAGGAAGCCUAUGUUGACCCUGGAUAUGGUUACGUGAGAGAGGGGAUUAAGAUGCCACAUUGACAAAUUUCUGGAGAACACGCCUGGGCAAAACUAUUAUAGACAGAUUACGUAACUGUGCAAUUUUGAAAUUUUCAAGCACAUACAACAAUCUAGUAUGAAUGAACCCCUAUGAGGCCAUCUAAUGUCAUACAUGUCAGCCCUCAUCAAAAUAAAUUUCAAACAAAUAUUUGUCUAGAGCAAAUGACAAAGAUCAUCGCUAAACUAUUUAGAAUUUCUUUUUUUGGUCACUAAACUUUCAUUUAGGCAAAAUAGUUGUUUAACUAGUAAAAAAAAAUUUGAUUACUUAGCUAUUAAGAAUUUAUAAAAGAAAAAAAGUAUGUUUUAAUUAGUUGAAUAACCAUUUUGACUAAAUAAAAAAGUUUAAUGGCCAAAAAAAAAAUAGAGAACCCUAAAUAGUUGAGUGAUAUUUUGUGUCAUUCACUCUAUUAUCUUUAAUUACAUUGUCAGCGCAAACUCUUCACGGGAAAAUAUCUACUCUUAUCAUGUAUAAUCACAUGUAUAAUGAGUUCUUCAAAUUAAACUCUAUCCAAAAAAUGGUUAUCGAAAAGAAAAUCUAAAGAAGUUAAUAGGUAAAGUAACUAGAAUUUAGAGGGUUUUGUUUAUAAUGUAAAAUCUUGCAGAUAAUUAAUAUUUUUUGCCAUGUAAUAUAAAUCAGUUAAGAAAUUUAAAAUUAUAGUAGUGUUAUCAUUUUUUAUAGUUGACUUGUAAAUAACACCAUUAAAGAAAUGCUUGCAGAAAUAAAUAAAUAAAUAAAUAAUGAAGUUCAAUCCAAUAAUUAACUAACCUCAGUACGCUUGGUUGCCGGUGAGAACACGUGUAUCUUGGAUACAUGCUCAGCAGAAUGAUUGCCACUUGAAGCACAAGCAGGCAAAUUCCGAGAUGCUGAUCUUGAAUAGACUGUGAGAAUUUCAUUUCUGGAGAUUUUCUUUACAGAUUGGAAGAAGAAAACGUGAGGAGCCUCACAAGGAUCACCAAAUGGUCUUCUAACAUUGAACAUGUAAUGUGGCCGAUUUGGACUUUUUUGCCAUGUCUUGAAUGUUUCAAUGGGCAUUCUUAGCCAACUUCGAGCCAUUAUUUUCUCAUAGAUAUGAGUGGAGUAGCCCCAAGAUAUGGAAAAAGACCAGUUGUUUUGCCUGUGGUGGCAAAUGGUUUGUUGAAAUAAGCGCGAUUGAUCAACAUUUGCGGCUUUCAUUAGAUGGUUUGUGGAUUUAGCACGAUCCAUUGAGGGGAAAUAUGGAUCUACUGCGUCAAUGUGGUGAAGGGACAAUACUAAAUCUUUAGGAUGAGAUGACAAGAAACCUGAUAAAUCGCCUUGUAAAUCUAUCUGCAUGACAAAAUCCAGUAUUAAUUAUCCUUAAUGAAGUUAAUUACUUGAAUAUCUGUGAGCAUGAUUUCAUUACUGAGGUAAAAAUCAGAUAUUUGUUGUGAUAGAAUAAUUGAACUUGAUACCAUAAACAUAAAAAAGAAAAAAAAAUUCCAUUGAGGGGACGAAUUCUAAUUCAACUAAAACUUAAGUAUAUAUUUAAAUAUUUUUUAUUCUUUGUGACAGCAAAAGUUUAAAUUUAUACAGUAAAUUUUUAAAAUUUUCCACUUUUGAAGGGUGAAAAACUUAAGUUUUUAAUAAUUUGAGGGUCGCGGGGUAGUUCCGCCCAUGCUUGAUACACAAUAAUGAGAAAGGACAACAAUAAAUUAUUAGGGUAUGCCCUCUCCAUGUUGGAAUAGUGCAAGAACUAAACUUUAUAACUUGCUUGUUAAGUAUCAGAAAAAAUAUUUAAAAAAAUUAAAAAUAACACUACCGAAGAAAAUGGUUUUUUUUAGGGUCCGUUUGUUUCAGUGUAAAAUUUUUUCCCAAGGAAAAUAUUUUCAGUGAAAAUCAUCUUAAUAGGAAAAUAAUUAUUUCCCUUCAUUUUCAGGUGUUUGGUGCACUUUUGAAAAAUAGUCCUUGAAGACAAAAACCCACAAAGAAUGUUCCCCUCAAAGAUUCGUCAGUUUCCUUCUGCCCAAUGACCAGAACUCCCAUCCACACCUAUAUCAAUUCAUCACCACAAUCCAAAUACUUCAAAUUCCAAAAAAUUAGAUCAUGCUCCAUGAUCUGGAAAUCCAUAGUAUCGCAAACCCAUGACCAUUACAAAUCAUACUAAUUACCUAAUCGUUAUGUCAAUGGAAAUUGCAUCAAGAAUGAGAUCCUUAUCAUUGACAGAGUUCUAUCAGAUGAAGCACUUCACUGAUGCUUACAAACAAUACUAAGAAAGAUAAGAAAGAUGGGGAGGCGUCUUUGUGGUGGUGGUGGGGGAGGUGGCUGUGGGUCUAGGUUAGACACAAUAGAUAAUUUUCAGUCAUGAUCUGAAAAUUUUCAGUUUAGUAAAGGAUCAUGAGACUGAUGAGCUCUCAAAUUUUUUCUUGUUAAAGGGAUUGUGAGGUUGAUGAACUCUAAGAGUUAUUGGAAAACAACUUCAGUACAACAGAUGCAGAAGUCAUUUUACUCCUGAUUGCGUAAAAGAUUUUCCACGGAAAAAAAUUUUCCCAAUCUUUUUGGCUGCCAAACACCAGAAUUUCCUGAAACAGCCCCUUAAUUUUCUUUAAUGUGCAUGUAAGGGGCAUGGAGAUUUGAUGAUCCUAGAGUGCAAUCCAAUGAAGAAGUCAUUAACCAAAAAGUAUAGAGAGGCAAACUUACCUGGUGGAAACCUUUCUGGGGAGUAAGAUCAGCUCCGAUGUCAGCUAGACAUCUCAUGGUCAUUAGAUCAGCUGAAAGACUUGCAUAUGUUUUAAGGCAACGAUCCAUAUCUUGCACUAAUGCUUUUGCUAGAGGAUAACUGAGAAUGAUCCCACUUCCACCAAAUGCCUGGUUAAAACUAUACCAGUAAUUUGACAAAACAAAUUCAGAUGGAUACCCUAUGUAGAAGUACUUUGUGUGAUCAUAUUUUGAGAGAACAUCCACUAAAUUAUCGACGAAAAAAAUAGUAUCAUCAUCUCCCAUGACUAUCCAUCUGACCCCCUCGUGCUCUUCACGAAAUAACUCCAAAAUCCCAUGUACCAUUCGAGGCAUAACAGGAUCCUUCGGUCUGACUACCUGGAACAAUUUGCUGAGAUCAUCGUUGAUUCUAUAAGGAGGAGAUUUCCGCGACCAUGGGAGGAGAUUCCCUGUGGGAGGCCUAUCAAGAUAGACAUAACCCUUUGUUUUUUUGGGUCUCCACCAGGCCUCGAUAUAAGCCCUUCUAAAGUGGUAAGUUUUCUCAGAACCUUGAAGUCCAAAGGCAAUAUGUUUGAGAGUAGUAGGACUAGGAGUAUCAGUAGAUGUUGAGUUUGAAGAAGAAGCUGUUUCUGUUCUCAAUAGAGGAAAGGAUUUAGAAUUUGAGCAUCUUGGAUCCUUGAAAAAGAGCACAAAGAUCACCCAAAGAAGAAGACCUGAAACUAGCAGUGCUUUGCAUAUUCCUAGUUUUUCUGUCAUUGCAUGAAAAUUGAAUGCAGCUGCAGAUGACAUCUUCAGAACUUAACUUGAAUGUUUCAUCAAAUGUGGCUCUUUCUUGAGAAACUUCCCAUUUCUCGCGGCCAGAAGAUAGGAAAACAGCUACCAAGGAAACUUGUCUAUCUGACUGAUUGACUAUUUUAUGUUACUUUACUUUUCAAAGUCUGCUAUUUGAUUAAUUCUCAUGAUUCAUGAAUCUUACAAUUUCCAGUCAAAUGGCACAUAUUCCACAAGAGCAUCUGGAUAUAUCCCAUAAAUGUAAAUAAUCCGUCAUCUGAUCUCCCUUUCUUGCAUCAUCAGAACAUGACAAUAAGCUUGUCAUGAACCCUUUAAUAAUAUAACUCGGCAAGUUCAAAAUUUAUCAAACAAUAUAUGAGAAUACUAUUGGUUGGCAUGAACAUCCAAUUAAUUUAGAUGUGUGACAUGCCUGUAUUGAAUUAUUAGAUAGAGUUUCUUGCUGCACCUGAACCGAACUUCAAUUCCAAUUUGUACAUGUUCUCAUGGCUACACAAAACCAUUGACAUGCUUUUUCCAGCGGGAAAAAGACUGGUGUGGAAGGAUUUUCUGAGUAACUGGAUAUCUUACUUUAUACAGGACGUAUAAUUAAGGCUUAAAUACAUUGUGACCCCUUGUAAUUAGAGAUUGGUUUUAUUUCAACCCCCAUGUUCACGAAAUAUGCAAUUCAUGUUUGGCAUAUAGUAAAUUCUAUCUUUUUCAAAUAUGUAAAGACAAUUAUACGGUCAAAAUCUUUUAGCCUUUGACGCUUUUAGCAUUUGGCGCCAAUAGAUAAUUUAGUAUAACAAAUUUACCCUCUCACUUUUUUUUUUUGGGGGGGGGGGGGGGUGGGUGGGGGGAUCACAUGCAUAUCAUGUGGUGACUAAAAUAAAUAAGGAAGAAAGUAAAGGGACAUAAUUAUAAAAGGAACAAGAAGAUUGACAAAAAGAAAAUCCUUUUCUCUGAUAAUUCACAAUUAGUAAUGGAUACUGCUGUAGAUUGGUAGACGUGAGUAGUAGCUUUGGAUUGCCAAUUAAGACUUGUCAAAUAUGAAUAUGAAGUAAUUAUCUUUUCUUUAGUUGGGACUGAAAUAUUCUUUUACAUGCUUAGAAUUAGGGGAUAAUUUCAAAAACCUCUCCUGAGGUUUCUAAUAAUUUCACUAGCCUCCCCUGAAUUUUAUAAAAUUUCACAAACCUCCCCUAAGGUUAAUGUUUUAAUAAUAAAGUUAGUCUAAUUAGAAAAAGUAAUAUUAAAAAAGUACUUUAAGGAGGGAUAUGAAACUUUUAUUCCAUAAAUACCCCUUAUGUAUGUAUAUAAGUCGUAUUAAUAAAAGAAUAAAAAUAAUUAAAAGUUAGAAACAAUUAACACACACAUUUAAUCACUUAAAAAAUUCAUAUUUAAUAAAUUAAACAACACAAAUAAGCAACAAAAUGAGAUUCAGAAAAAUAGACUAAUCAUCUUUUUUAACAUCAUGUUUGCUAUGAUUCUCAUGAUUUUGAACAGAAAAUUUUUCAAAUUUUAUCUUUCUUUUCCUUCCUUUCAAUUUUCUUUGAAACUCUUAAAACUGUGACAAUUGUAAAGUAAUUUUAUGGAAAUAAAGGAGACAAUUGUAAAGUAAUUUCAUGGAAAUAAGGGAGAAAGGAGGGAAAAGAAAUACAAAUUUGAAAAUUUUUCUAUUCAAAGUCACAAGAAUCAUAGAAAACAUCAUGUUAAAAGAGAUAAAUACUCUAUUUUGCUAAAUCUUGUAAUCAUUAGUGUAGUUUUGUUGCUUAUUUAUGAUGUCUAAUUUAUUAAAUAUGAACUUUUUGAGUGGUUAAAUGUGUGUAUUAAUUGUUUCUAACUUUUAAUUAUUUUUAUUCUUUUACUUACUACUACUUAUAUACAUGUAUAAUGGGUAUUUAUGAAAUAAAAGUUUUAUUUCUCUCCUUAAAGUACUUUUUUAAUGUUAUUUUUUCUAAUUGGACUUACUUUGUUAUCAAAACGUUAACCUUAUGGGAGGUUUCUGUAAUUUUACAAACUUCAAGGAAGGCGAGUGAAAUUGUCAGAAACCUCAGGAGAGAUUUCUGAAAUUAUCCCUAGAAUUAGUUUUGGAGUGGAGCUAAAUUCAUAACUCCACAAUCUAAAUUCGAACUCUUAUAACCAAGUUGACCAAAAAGCUUGUAGCAUUUGUAGGGCUUGGUAGAAUCAACCUCUUUUGGAGGAGUUGGCUACCACAUGUCUUGUGGAAUGGAAGGUCAAAGAUUCAAACCUUACCGUCCAUCAAAAAGUUGCCACUUAACGUGGCUUCCCUAAAAUCCAUAUGGGUUCUUAAAGCACUCGUAUGGUCUUAUUGUAGUUCAGUCUCCGUUGAUUUCCUGUGGCCCUAUUAGGUCAUCCCAUAGUAUAGGUUAGAGUAAGAGUAGGUAUAGAUAGUGAUAAUAGACAAAAAAAAAUAUGUGGGGCUUGGUUGAAACUUUUUCAAAAAAAAAAAAAGCCUUUUUUGAUGAAAAAUAGAUGGUGCUAAUUUACAUUUAAAAUUUACAUCAUUAUGAAUGCUCUUAAAUUUUCUAACAUUUUUUUCAUUCACUUUAAUGGCAUUUAUUUUUUUCCUCUUAUUUGGUGGAGAGAAUGUUUUUAUCCCUUUUUAUCAUGUAAGAGGAGAUGAGAGAUUUUCUUCUUUUUUUUUAAAUUGUGUUUAGAAAAUACUUUUACCUUUUGGCAUGUUGCAUUUCAAAGUUGAUUGAAAUAUAAUUUUAGAAAACACUAAUGGAUCAAUAAUUAGAAUGAUGGUAUCAAAUAAUUUCAAUUAAUUAAGAUUUAUAAUUGAUUUUUUAACAUCUCUUAUUGUAUAAAAGAUAAGUUUUGUAUUGAAAAAAGUUUCCAUGUUCUUAACACUAGGAGUGUGGAUUUAGCUCCACCCUUAGUUUUGUUAUGUUAAACAAUCUGGCGAGCUAUUUGCUUAACUCCUAGACUGUGAUUCAAUCUAAAAUGACUACUAUCUGUUGUUUGGUAAUGGGACUAGUGUCUAUCAUCUAAUAUUUGGAAAUGUUAUGUUGUAUCUUAUUUACCAGUGGCAGAAAUAUUAAUUAUUUGCUUGUCUUGCUCUACCUUGGGUGUGAAAUGUUUUGGAUGUUAUUUAAUUUUCUUGAAUUUAUUUUGGAGCAGCUAAAAUUUUCGGAAGAAUUGGAGGAGUUGUUUUCGGGUUGCAAAGGAAGGAAUGAUAGCCUAUUUCUUUCAUACUAGUGCUUGGGGCCACGCCUAGCGUGGCCUUGCCCUUAUAUAGUUAUUUUUUGGUUUUGUUGUGUUAAGCAGAUGCAUUUUGAAUUUUAGGGGCCCAUGUGUAGUGUGUGUGAGAAUUGUUGUCAGACGUUCUAUUUGUUGGGUUGAGUGAAAUAUGAUAUUAGAUGCAAGGUAGAAUAAAAUAUAGAGUGAUUGUUUGGCUAGGUGGCAUGGGUUUUUGAAUACAUUGGGUGCAUGGGUGCCAAGUUUCUUUGAUGUGGUUGGCAUCUAUUAUGGUGUUCAGAAUAUUUGUGACGAGUAUGAUGAAUGCUUGAUAUUUUUUCCAUAUAUAUAAGUGAAUUGUAUUAUGUAUUAGGAUCAUUUCAUUGUAGUAGUUGAGUUUUAUUUGUAAGAAACGUAAUUUGUAACUUUGUUAUUUAGGUGAAAUUGUCUUUUAGAUUAGUACUAUGGAGCAGAAUGUUGUGUUUGUUAAUCGGUUAAAUGAUGUUAUCUGUGGAUGGGUUCUUCAAGUAGUAUUUGUUGAAAAAUGUCUUAUUCAGGACAGUCGUAAUAUGGGUCGGAGGUAUCAACGAUUUGUUUUUGCAGAUAGUUUGGUAAGUAUUAUAUUUUGUUUGUUGCUUUUUUUUUUUUAGAAAUUUUUAUGAUGUUUAUUUUGUAGGGUGAGUUGGUUCAAGCAGUUGCAUAUUAUAAUGAUAUUCAUGUCUUGAAUGAAACUAUACAAUUGUACUCGACGUAUUACAUUGCUGAUGCUGCUAUUCGUCGAAUCCUUAAUGGCUCAAUAAUGCUUGGAUCAGUUCCUUUUGAAUUGGUGUUAAGACCGAAUACUUUUAUUCAAACUGUUGAUGAAGGUCUUGCACUACCAAUUCAUAAUAUUUACCACUUGACUCGGUUUGGAGAUUUGGAGUCACUGAGGCAUUCGCGAGACUCAAUUAGAAGUAUUCUAAAUAUUAUUGAUAUUUUUUUAUGUAAUUAUUGGUUUAUAUUUGUUAUCAUAGUGAGAAUUUUUUGUUUGUUGUUACAGCUAUUCUCGGUGUUGUCAUUCAGGUGCUUCCAAUGCAAGUUUUUAUGUUGGGAGGAAGAUAUAUACGAGUUCAGGAGUUUCUUUUAAUUAAUGAAGAGUAUGUUUUUGUUAAAUUAAUUUUUUUGGUAUGAUUUUUUAUUAUUACAUUAAAUUUUAUUUAUAUUCAUUUUUUUUUUGUAGAAUGAUGCCAAUUGUGUUUGCAAUUUGGGAUGAUUUUAUCGAUAUAGAUGGAUUAUAUCUUGCUCAAAUUGCACAUGAAUAUCCCAUUAUAUUGGUUUGCAGGCCUAAGAUCAGUUAUUUUCAUGGUAAUGGUCUUUUGGAAUAUAUAAUAUUAAAUUAUAAUUGGAGUUUUUGAAUUUAUGUUUUUUAUUCACAUUUUUUUGUAUAGGUCUUUCAUUGGGAACACAACGUCAAACCAUUAUUAUGUAUAAUGUGGCAAUUCCCCAAGCUCAUGAAUUGAGACAAUGGUUCGACACAUUGGGGGAAGAUGGUGGUAAUUAAUAAUUUAUUGGAGGUUCAGUUGAUGUAAAUAUGUUUGAUGAGUGAAAAUAUAUUAAAUAUUUUUCUUAUUAGUUUGAGUUAAUAAAGUUUGCGAGUUUUGUUCUAAGUGUUUGUAUGUGAAGUAUGAGUGUUUCGAUUUGCAACUGAAGAGCUGGUAGGGAGUUGUAGUGUGUAUUUAUGAAUGGUACAUGUUUUAAUGUGUUAGUUUGCUAAGUGAGGUUCUAGAUAGUUUGGUAUUGAAAUAAAGUGUUGAUUUAUGGUUUGUAUGAGUUAAAGAGUUAGAUAUAUAUUCGUUAGUUACUUUCUUUUACUUUUAUCCAAAUGCAAUUACUGAUUUGAAUAAAGGCAAAAGCAACUCACUAUCCUUGCAAUGCAAAAUAACCAGAGAUGUUUGAAAAAAAGUUAGGAUGUUUUGAUUGGAGAUAGAGAUUGGCAGAGAUAUCUUGGAGAUUUUAAUUGGCCGCAAUACCUCGUCUUGACAUGUGAAGAGACAUAAUUGGCUACCAAAUAGUCAAGUUUCCAAGUGUGCAUGACAUAUGGCCAUACUUAAUUGAAUAAAAAUAAGCCAUAGAAAUGAUUUAUAAAUCAACAGUAAUUUUUAGAAUUUAAUUAAAAUUCCAUUGCCUACAAAUGCCCCCUCAAACCUUGUUCAUGAAUGCUGAAGAUUGAAGUAAGUUUUGAACGGAUAAGUUUCGACAUUUUUUAUUAUUAUUAUUAUUUGAGCAUCGUCGGAAUAUUAAUUCAAUAAAGUCCAUAAAUUGGCUAAAUUUAAAGUUUUGCAAACUUCAUGGCAAUGACUUGAUCAUAUAAGAUGACCACACGGAAUACCACCAAUUCAUGCAUAACUUAGUGAUAUCAAUUUCCAGGAUCAAACCAUAUCAUGCAAUAGGCUCAAGUCCACCGCAACAUUACCAAACGCAUGUAUCAUCAGACGAAUUCAGUAGUUACAAUUUCCAAGACCAAGUGAUUCUAUACUAUAACUCCAUAUUAACUUGCCCAAAUUUCUAAGUUUUCCUUUGCCCCUUAGGACGCCAAUGACAUACAUGUGUGACAUUUCAAAGCUGAACCAGAUUCCUUCUCUAUUACAAAUUAGUUAGUUCAAUUCAUGGCAAGCUCAAUCUGUGGGAACCUAAAGAUAUACUUUCUAGAAUUGGAGACAACUCUUACCGUUAAGGUAUCAACUUUUAAUUACAAUAGUAUUCUCUUAUCCCUCAAGGAUAUGAAUUGUAUCAGUAUCCAAUUCUCUAUGCAAGUGAUCCUUCUCAUAAUAUAGUUGACCAAAAGGACACCGUAUUGGACUUGAAUUCCAUUUACUGGAGCUCUAAUAAGCAUACAUAGUUCCCAAGGCAAAAUUCCCCUGUGCGAAAGAGGAAUUAGUUGAUCAGCCCAUGACAAACUCUAUCAACAGAGGAUUCGAAAACAAAGAUAACCCACGAAUAGUUCAUGUAAACAAGAAAUCUAUUCGCAUUCGAACUUGAAUUCCUGCGGGCUUUCAAUGACACUCCCCGCUAUAAAAUAUUCAAGACUAAAUCCAUAAAUUCACAAAUGCCCCAGAAUUGUGAAGCUCCAAUUGCUGCUUGUUGCCCAUACUUUGUAGUUUGCUCAGCAAAAGUUGCGGCUGUUUUCUUUGUUCGCUGCUGCUGCUACUCAUUAUUUGCUAGUUUGUCCCACUUUGUUGUCCUCUUGAAGCUAAUAAUCACUUUUUCCGAGAUACCCGCGAACUAGUCAACUCGAAGGUAUACAUGCUAUGCUUGGUAUAUUCUCUUUUUUUUCAUGCAAGAUGUUAAGCAUCGUACGUAUCCUCAUCUUUUUUGAUUUUGCAUAAAACUUCCCACUGCAAGAUUGACUAAUACUUUACGGUAGCAUGGUACACUAUUGCAUGUCAGGUCUCAUGCGCUCUUCUUCUUUCGAUUUUGCAUAUAGCAAAAGGCAAAUUUCAUUAUCCUACUUAUCUACCUUUAUAGGGCGUUACCACCCAAACAUGCAUGAUAAAUUUAUUUAGGCAAUAAACUUAAAUACUUUCACUUUAACUUGCAGGAUCAACUCCUGUCCGAGAUCCAUCAACGAACUUUAGAAAGAUUAACUUCGGGAAAAUUUAGCAGCCAUGCAAAUUAAAGAUUGCGCCACGCCAUUGCCACAUAUCUCAUUGACGGACGAACGGUGAUGAUCUCAAUCGAAAAGUCUGUCAUUAUAUAUUAAUAAGCCAGCAAUCGGUGCCUUUGCUGAUUCUUUUAUACUCCUUGAAGGAUGCUUUCAUCUUGAAGAUUGGACUAGCAAGUGGACUAAGGAAGUUGUAGCACCAUCGACUUUCUUCACUAUGUCGAGGGUAGAAGAAGUGGUGGUAUUAAACUCGUCACUUCAUAAUGGAGAUCCAAAAAUAGCUAAAUUCACGCUUCCGUUUGUGGGAUUUAAUAUUGACAAAACUACAUGGAAGAUUCCUUCUUUCUUCUUUGGUGAGGCGUGCUUCACUUCUCACUAUUGGGAAUGGAUCGAAAACAUCCUUGGAAGGCAUAAAGAGGUGCUCACACGUGCCGGCAUAUUUGAAGUCGUCUACGCGUCGAGAUUUUCCUACGACCGUUGUGAAAAUAUCUUGCGAGCUUUCUUCACAUAUUGGUGUCCAUCGAUAAAUACACUCCAUACGCCUAUUGGAGAGUUGUCCAUCACAUUUUGGGACCUUUAUCGACUUGGUGGUCUUUCAAUUGAUGGCUCAUUCUUUGAUGAAAUUGUUCCUUCUGUGCAGGAACUUCUCACUUGUGACAAAGAAGGGAAGUCACUUCUCUCUGAGAGUUGCAGGCAUCUCUUUUCCGCUUACUACCACAUUUGGACGAACGCCCAAGGAGUGUGGAUAAAAGACUAGAUCCGUUUCUGGUUCAAAUGAGAGGCUAUAUAUAGGGUUCAUCCGAACAGGGCGAAUAGAAGAAAAAUCACAUCUAAACAAAAAAUGACCUAUAAGCCUUCAGGAAGCAUAGAGUCUCAUGAUCUUACUGAUGCAAAAGAUUUCAACAUCCCUUUUGACACAUUGGAUAUCCUAGGGUUCUUGAGAAAGAAAACCUAUAUUGCGGCAUUCAUAACAUGUUGAAUUUGCAAGUUUUUUUUGCCAAUCAAAAAGGUCAAUUGCAUUCGCACAAGUGUCUUCAAUGUUGCAUGCUUAAUGGUCACAGGAAAAAGAUUUUGCCUUACAAUUUCCGUCCUUGCGAGCAUAUAUUAUGGGUUGAGGGAGAUCGUCUAUGCCCCUAACCUUAGAAAAUGUGAGGUGGUUUUUCCAAUCCAUUACGUCUAUGUUUGAAUUGGCCAAUAUUUUGAUGUGUAUUAUGAGAAUGACAAAGUGAGUAACCACCACGCAGGCAUGAUAAGAUUUAGUGGUGAAAAAAUAGUAAUAUUUUAUGAUAAAUCAGAAGCUGAGAAAAUCUUCAAAGAAAUGAAUCCCUUGAUGCUUUCUAAAUUGUGUUGGACUGAGAAUGAAGAAAAGGUAUUGAUCGACGACGGAUCCUUAUCAUCAAGACUUAGCUACUUUAUCAGUCAAUACUCUUGCUACUUAACUCUAUGUAAGGACAAUAUCUUUAUUGUUGAAAAAUAUAAUCCUUAUAGAUUUAGUAGACAAUUCGCCUUCUGCCAGGAUAUUCUAAAUAAUUUAAAAGAGAUUACUCACACUUAUAUUUUGGGUGAAACUAUUCAAUUACGGGAUUCCUCAGUUUGCACGCAGACGUGAUCUCGAAUGACUAUACCUAUGCAUAGGAAGCAUCUAUUGAUCACAAAAGAUUAUGAUACCUGGUAGUCAACACGGUCAAAUAGCGUCAAUUCAACUUCCUUUAAAUUCACCGUUAAGAUCCCUCAACAAUCAUCAAAGAAGGGCAAGGAUAACUCUGUCAAUGAGUCAAUGCAUCACAAUAGAGCUAUAGAGACUGGAACGGUUCUUACUGCAUUUACCUUGCAGAAGAACAAAAUUACUAACACUCGCUUGAAAAGUAUUGUCACGAAAAAUAAGUUUUCAAAAGACUAUCAAUGGGCCAUCAAAGAGACAAAACUAGCACUUCCAAUAAAGAAGACGUCGUAAAAAAUUUUAAAAUCUUUAACCAUGACUUCCAUGGGAGAAGAUGCCGGAAUUGAAAUGUUAGAUGAUCACGAUUCUAUCAAGGUUAUUGAAAAGGAGGAACUCAAAUCCAAGGCACCAGACCUACCAAGGAGGAACACAUUCAUUGACAAGUAAUAGUAGCAGUUAAGACUGUCAUUGGAAUCGAAAAAAGAAGAGGACAUCUUCUAAUUUGGAGGAAAUUUCCUUUAUAUCAUCUUUCUUUUUUUAUUUUUUUGUAACUUUUUUCUUUUAUUUUUUUAUUUUUUUCAGCCCCCUUUUCUUCAAUUCCGCCAAGAAGAUGUUGGCAACAAUUCACCAAUUGAAUUUGAAGUUGAUGGUGAAAUUUCAGACAAAAAAGGUGACGAAAUUGUCGUCAGCAUCCCAAAACAAUUUGUCACCAGUAGAUGUGCCUUAUCAAUUCAUAAGAAGGGGCUGACUAGUUCAUACGAGAUCCUAAAGAGGUCUAAGGUAGCAUUGGUUUCAGAAUUUCAUGGGUAAAAAUUGAUCCAAGCAUAUCGAAAGAAAUACUUGCAGAGUUUGUAGAUGGAUUUUCGCGGGCAGAUUCUUGACACUCCUAUCGAGCAAAUCUCUUCUUUAAAAGAAUGCAUAGAGGAAAUUAUUGCAGAAAUCACAAGAACAGAUCCUAUCAAUGUUCUUCCUUUAAAAGACUCUUUGAUAGAAUUGUUCGCCAAGACAGAGACAUACGAUAUUUUGACAUCUUCAUCUUAGAAAAAGAUGAGUAAAGAGACACAUGCAGAAUUUCUUCUAAAGUGACUGUACAACUCGGGAGAGCCAAGACAAAGGAAGAAGAACUAACUUGCCAUCUGCAGAAUCUUGAAAAAAAGUUACAAUCUAUCGAAUAUAUGAAGAAAGUUCUUCAACAGGAACUUAUUGAUUUGGAAAGACAAGACACAAAAAUCAGUUUGACUAUUGAUCAAAAGUAUGAAACUUUUAAAGAGAUCUAAAUUGAGAUAAACCAAGUGCAUGAUGAACUCUCCUCUAUCGAGAAUGCCAAUGUCUUAACUGAUGAUGCAAUGAAGGAACUUGAAGACAUGAAAUUUGCACCCCGAAGCAUGUAAAAUAAUUGUAGUAGAUUACAAGUUUGACAUUUAGACUUUCUAUCAUUUCCUUCUUUUUCAUCAAAAAAAUUUUUUUAUCAUUUUUUUAUGUAAUGAAACUUUUUAUGAAUAAUAAAAUGCUUUUCGUCCCUUAUCUCUUUUUUUUUUAAGAGAAAAGAACUUUUAAAUUUAGCAUUUUAUUUUCAAAGAAAGAGAGGAUUCCUUUUUUUUUUGCAAGGAGAAAAAAAAAAGAAUUUGAUUUGGGAGGUAUAACCGAACUUAGAAGUUGCCCUCUAAACUGCCUACGUAUCCCAAAAAAGGAAUUAAGUUACACGUAGUUCCUGUCGUUCACACUUUAACCUCAUGUGGUCAGGAGUAUUUGUUUGUUUACCAUCUUAGAUUUGGUGGAGUGUUUCAACAGUUUAACCAUAUACUACACUAUUGGUAGUGGGAGUUCUCAAAUUAUGCAUAGUACCUUUUUAGGUACUUUCAUUGAUGGGGCUAAUUCUUAAUCCAUUAUCAGCAACCAAUUUGUUUGAGUCAUUUAUAUACACUUCUCGGACAAUAUAUGGACCAUCCCAUUUAGGGAUAAACUUCCUUUGUCCUCCAUGAGCAAGAAUGAUCGGUUUUCAAACAGUGAGUACUAACUCUGCAAUUUGAAAAGAGCGUGGUCGACAUACUUAUUGAAUGUUUUUCAAAGGCGAGCUUGAUAGGCACUCAGUCCGUUAUUGAGUUUCUAAUCUCUUUUCAUCAACGGCUUCUAACUCCUCAAGACGAAGACGAACAUUAUCUUCUUCACUGAGCUCCUCUUGAAUUGCAAUUCUUAGCAAAGGUAUUUGACAUUCAAUUGAAAGAACAGCUUCAACACCGUAAACAAGUGCGUAUGGGGUUGCUUGUGUGGGAGUUCGAAAAGUAGUUCUAUAUGCCCAAAGAGCUUCCUCAAUUCAAAAAUGCCAAUCUCUUUUUGAUGUAUCUACAAUUUUCUUUAACAGAUUACAUAAGGUCUUAUUGAAUCCUUCAGCGAAUCCAUUUGCAACAACGUAGUACAUUGAAGAAUUGUAUUGUUUGAAGUGAAACUUUUCGCAAAACUUAUUCAUUGCUAUAUUGCAAAAAGAUUUACCAUUAUCAGUGAUGAUAUAAAGUGGAACUCCAUACCGGUAAAUAAUGUGCAAACGAAUAAAAUCUACUAUAUUCUCUUUUUUGACCUCUCUUAAAGGAACUGUUUCAACCCACUUUGAGAAGUAAUCUGUCGCUGUCAAAAUAAAAAUAUGUCUACCAGAAGAUUUUGGAAACACUCCAACUAUGUCCAAACUCCAAGCAUCGAAUGGCCAAGAAGCCACAAUUGGGUGCAAUGGUUUAGGAGGUUGAUGGAUGAAAUUACCAUGAAAUUGACAAGUUUGACAUCUUCUAACAAAAUCAAUGCAGUCCUUCACCAUCAUCCCAUUCUCUUAAUGCGAAAGUAUAUUUCGGAUCAGAUUGAUGAGCACUACAUAUCCGAGCGUGAGGUUCAUCCAUUGCUUGCGUGGCCUCAUUUUCUCCAAGAUAUCGUAGAAACACUCCAUCAAAUUAUCUUUGAUAAAGCGUUCCUUUAUAGUAAAUGAAACGUGACGCUUGGCGGCGUAUGUCAACCAUUUUCUUGAAAUUUUCUGAUAACUUUCCAUGAUUAAAAUAAUCAAUGAUGAGAUGACGUCAAUCCUCCUUUUCAAUUUCAUUAAUGUAAAUAUGAUAGGCAUUUUCUUUCCCACCAUUAUCUUCUUCAUCGAACAUUGGAGGUAUGAUCCAAUUUUGACAUAUUAAGAUUUGAUUUCGAUGAAAAGGCAGAGUGAUCGUAGACGCCAACCUUGCCAAAGAGUCAACUUGUUGGUUGAAUUUUUUAAAGAUGUGUUCUAUGGUGACAUUGCCUAAAUAUCUGAUGAGUUGUCUUGCAUAAUUAUAACAUGGGAUUAAUUUAGGUUUCUUAACAUUAUAAAUAUCAAGAAGUUGAUUUACCACUAAUUUAGAAUCACCAUAGACCUUAAGAUGUAAUUAUUUCAUGUCCAUAGCCAUCUCAAGACCAAGAAUUAACGCUUGAUAUUCAACUACAUUGUUUGAGCAUCGACGUGUUAAAGUGAAAGAGUAUGGCAAUAUGUCUGCCUGAGGAGUGUAAAAGAUGACUCCCGCACUAGCUCUAUCACGGUGAGCAGACUUGUCAAAAUACAUCGACCAUAGAGAUUCGAUCAUAAAUACUUCUUCAUCGAGGAGUUCAUCAAUCAACACUCAUUCGGCAGGCAUGGGAUGAUCAGUUAAAAAGUCUGCUAAUACUUGUCUUUUGAUAGCCUUUGCAGGUACAUAAAUAAUUUUGAUUAUUGAAAUUGAAGAUACCAUCUUACAAGACGGUCAGAUAGCACAAGUCUUUUUUAUGACAUAUUUAAUGGAAUUAGUUUUGGAUAUGAGUCGAAUAGUGUGUGCUUGAACAUAACGUUUCAACUUUUGAAUGGCAAAUAUAAGUGCCAAACACAACUUCUCAAAAGAUGAAUAAUUCAACUUAUUUAAUGUCAUCAUCCAAUUCAAGUAAUACAACGCAUUCUCCUUACUUUCAUCAUUUUCUUGAGCCAGUAAAACUCCAACCGAUCAUUCUUGAGCAGAAAUGUAGAGGAUUAAUGGCUUUCCGAGAACUGGUACAGCUAACACAAGCGGAUUCGUGAGAUAAGUUUUAAUUGCUUGCAAAACCAUUUCACACGUUUCAUCCCAUUCGAAGGGUACCCCUUUUUUCAUUAAUCGACUAAAGGGUUGGUACCGUCCGGCCAAAUUAGAUAUAAACUUCCGAAUGUAAGCCAAUUUUCCUUGAAAGUUCUUCAAUUCUUGGAUAUUUCGCAGUUCAGGCAUAUUCAUAAUAGCGCUAAUUUUAGAUCGAUCAACUUUUAUUUUCCGCUGAUGAAUGAUAAAAUCGAGAAACUUACCAGAAGCGACUCCAAAUGUGCACUUUAAAGGAUUCAUUUUCAGCUGAUAUUUUCGAAGACAUUGAAAAAUUUUUCGAAAGUUUUGAAUGUGAUCUUCUCGCUUUUUUUAUUUUACCACAAGAUCGUUAACAUAGCACUCCACAUUUAAAUGAAGCAUAACAUCAAAAAUUCUUUACAUUGCCUUUUGGUAUGUUGCUCCAACAUUUUUCAAUUCAAACGGCAUUACUCUAUAACAAUAAAUUCCUUUGGGAGUACGAAAAGUAGUGAGUUCCUCAUCCUUAACUGCCAUGCGCAUCUGAUUGUAACAAGAGAUCCACCGAGGAAAGAUAGUGUUUCAUGUUCCGCUGUAGCAUCUAUUGUCAAUUCUGUUAUGGGAAGUGGAAAAUCAUUUUUGGAUAAGUUUCAUUCAACUCUCGAAAAUCUACGCAUACUCGUAUUUGCCCAUUCUUCUUUUUCACAGAGACGAUACUCGAAAUCUAUGUUAAAUACUUCACUUCUCGUAUGACCCAGUUUCAUUCAACUUAUUUACCUCAUUUUCUAUUAAAGGAAUUAAUUCGAGUCUAAAGAAUCUUUGAGCUUACUUAAUAGGUUUUGUUCCUCGUUUGACAGAUAAAUUAUGAACAGUGACUCUUGGAUCUAAACCAGACAUAAACAAAGACAUUCUUAAAUUCGAACAGAAUAAAUCAACAUACUCUUUCUCUUCUUCAGGAGUCAUACAAAAACUUAUGUAGAUUGGGCGAGAGUCAUCGCACCAAAAUUAAUUUCUUUUAGCAUAUCGGCUGUAGUUUUUACUUAUUCAAAUUCAGAGGGAGCAUCGUCCGCAUCUUCUUCUUCUUCAUGAUCAUUAAUCGUAAUAUGAUGGUAGGAAGCAAUACUUUCUUGACCCUGUUCUUCAAAGAUAGUUUCGAAUCUUACGUUAAACAAAUUUCUAUAGUUCAUGAAGAAAUUGAAGACUCAUUUUUUCGGACCAUUCUUUUUUAUUGGAGUAAGACUUUCUUCCCUGACAACUUGAUGCUCUUAUUAUUUAUUGCCUAAUCUCUCAUAGAUGGGCGGUUUCAAAUUCUUUGAUUGUGGGCCAAGUCUAUCAAAUACCGAAGUACGUUUUGACUUAUUUCCCAAUCUAUCGAAAACAGAUCUCUUAUGGCUUGUGACCUCCAUUUCUUCGUUCACAUAGUUACAACUUGCCCUUUUGAUCACUAUACGAACAGGAGAAGGCGGUUGAUAACCAAGAUCCAUUGAUGAACUUUUAAUGCUAUAAUCUCUUUCUUUCAACAUUUUCUACGUAGAUGUCAAUUCAUGAGUCUUUUCGUCAGUCACUUCAGGAGAGAGUUUGCCCAAUGCAUUCUUCUCACUUGGGUCAUAACCCGCCUUAAUAAGAAGUCUAUAUGCAUUUGGAUCAAAAUCUUCUUGUGUCCGAUUAGUUGGUAGUGAGUGAUGUUCCACUACAGGUUCUUCUUUAGGACGGACAAAUCCUUGCAAAUUCAUUUUUUCGCUUUUAACAGGCUCUAUUUUGGUGAGUGGAACGUGUGACGCCUCCCACUUCUCCCUAAGGCGAACCAAAGGUAUCCGCGGGACGCCUGCCUAAGUCUCGCCAGGACUCAACCAAUUCCAUUUAAGCUUAUUAUCGAUCUACACAACACAAGUAAAUAACUUAAAUAUAGUAAAUGCGGAAGCGUUCAAACUUAACAAUAGUCAUCCAUUAUCCAACCCGCACGUCGGGUGUUCAAAGUACAUCAUGAAUCCCAAAUAUACAUCACGCCCUAAAAGUUACAUUUCAAUUCCAAAAGAACAACCCAAAACCAAGGGUAUAAUCUAAAUAUAAUAGAAAUCCUAAACAAAAGUACAUCAGGAGGGUUUCUCCAAUACAUCUCCGAGUUCAAUCCUGUUAAGGAAAACAAAUCUACAGGGUGAGCAAAAACGCUCGUGAGGCCAAGAACACACAUGCAAGCACGUAGUCCAGAUAACAGUCCCAAAUAACAGUUCAAGAGAUAAUUACAAGUAAUUAAUAAAGCCAGUGAAAGUAAGCAGAAACAAUUCAAGGAUAUAGUAGCUCUCAGGAGCUAACUUCCACUUGCUUUGCCAGUUCAUUCGUAUAUCUUCCCGCGAUGACUCUCCGUCAACCGGGUUGAUAUUUCCAAACCAUAGAUCACCACUUACUUCUCAUCCGUCCACCCUACACCGCUUCGGGCCCGCACGACAUUUAUAAAGCUAUACUCCACGAGUAUGCCAAGCAAGAUCUCUCAAAUAGAUCAAGUUUAUCAUGUGAUUCUCAUGGCUCACCAAGAUUCCCGACCAAGCCCAUGCCGGCUCGAGUUCCAAGGUCGGCCUAUGAGUUUGGGCGUCCCUCUAGUAUCAUGUAAGUGUCUAGGAGAUUCACUCCAACGACGUAUGCAGCCAUAGCUUACCAUGUCAUGUAUUCAAGCAUUUGACAGGUUUAAGCAUGUAUUUCAGGUCAUGUAAACCAGACAAAACAUGUUAAGCAUGAGUCAUUUGUUUCAAAUAAGAACGAGUGCGAUAAAGUAUACACUCGACUCCAUUUUUCAAAACCAAGUAGGCUAAGCAUGUAAUCAGGUAAGCCAAGCAUGAAUCAAGUCCAUAGAGUUCUAGUAGCCAUACACUUGACACUCACCAAGUAGAAGUAGUCUCAACCAAAAUUUAAGUGUUCACCGUGGGAUCCUCUUGAGGGUCCUCGUGUGCGCCUGAGCAUAUAAUAGUGAAGUAUCACUCAUAUAUCCCAAUUAUCAAGGAAGAUUGUACACUAGUACAAUCUAAGGAAAUUUCAUGAAAACGAACCUCAAUUACUCGUAAAUCGAGAUUUAAAUGGAGUUUCUCAAAGUACACGGUAAUCGAGUUUUCAUUUUGGGAAAUCAAGUAUAAAACGGUCAAGAAAUAUUGAAGGAAUAAGGAGUACUUGAAAACUCCCUUCCUUUGGAAUUUGGGAAAAAAAUUCAGGUUUGAUACGAUAUUUUGAAAAAUCGUAUCUCCCAUUCUACAUGUCAGAAAUUGGAAAACUGGGUGCCGUUGGAAACUUCUUUGAAAGUACUAAAAGUUCUUAGAAUACACUUUUCUAAGAUUCCAAAUGAAAAACAUUCAAAAAUGAGCUCAAAGUUGCUGUUUUGGUUCAUAAGGCAGAUUUAAGUUGGUUUUUGGCCAACUUUGAAAAUUCGGAAAAAUUCACUUGAGUGAAACUAGUCUUUGAAAUUUGUAAAUCUAAUAGUGUUGUAAUCCAAGUUUACAACAAAACAAGCGGAACAAGAAAUGGAGUUUCGAACACCGAGAUACGGCAGCUCAAAAUUUGGGAAAAUUCGAAACUACUGAACAAAUUUCCAGAUUUGAGUUUCCGACUUUGGGACCUUAGUUGGGUAUCGAAAUGGAUUUGGAUUGGUACAAAAUUUGGCAGUAUAAUACUCCUAUAUAAAGGAUAUUCCUCUAUCAAUUUUCAUGGAAAAAUACCUUCGGGAAGGUAGUCAACCAAACACCCAAAGUUUUGAAAAUCCUAAGGUAGAACUGCCUUGAGCUUUUUGGUUUUCCAUUCCAAACAUUUGGUCAAGGAAAAUCCUCCAAACGUAGUUCAUUGGUGUAGGCAAAGCCUAAGGAACAUUCAUGGUACAUUUGCUAAGUGUUUAACACCCAAAAAAUUCAAUUAGCAAGUCUACAUCAAGCCUUGCAUCAAAUCUGUCCAAAAGUUAGGGUUUUCAAGAGCAGGGCAGGUUCGGUAUUUUGAUCACAAAUCACUCAACUUAACUCGGAAUUGAGUAUGGUUUAUGGCGUUGAAAAUAAAUUCAUAGAGUUAUAAUUUCACAGAAGAAAUCAUUUUGAAAUUCGGCACACAACUAGCUCGAAUUCGACCCACAAGUUGCAGCCUCAGCAUUUCAUUCCAGGAAAACAGAGAAACAGAACAGCUGACUUUAAAUGGUUGGUUCGGCUCACAUACAUGGAAUCAGAACAUGCAUUUUAUACCGUUGGAAAGGUGGGAAUGUCUAGUUUCAAAUGCCGCUAACGGUACUCGAUUUCGAUGUCGGAGAACAGAGUUAUGGAUGAAACAAGAAAGCUGGUCUGAGCAUUACGGGAACAGUUUCCAGGUCUGCUACCUUUACGAAAAUAAUUCAUUUGACCAACCAAACCUCAAUAUUUUUCAAUAAAAUUUUGUACACCAUCUAUACAACAUAUAAACAUCAUAUACAAGCCAUUAAAUCCCCAAAAUUCUGCAGAAAUAGGUACGUUCAAAGCAGGGGCAGAAUCGGAACUUUUUACUCCAUGCACCCCUUGAAGUUUCUACUAAUAAUACACCAUUAAUCUACCAUUUUGAGCACUAAACUAACAUUAAAUCCAUCAUCAAGUAUGCGAUCAGUCUCCAAGACAAAGGUGGGAGUUCAUAGAGCCCACCCAUUUCAUUUUACACCAUAAACAAGCUAACCAAAGGCAUGCUAGAGCUUAAUCAUGCUAUAUGACUUCCAAAAGACAAGAUUCUAUGAGUUGAUUAUCACUUACUUUGGUUUGAUGUUCAAGCAGAAUUUCGGCCCCCUUUACUCCAGCAAAACCGUGAUUUUCAGCUCCCCUUUUUUCAGCUCAAAAUGAUCCUCAAGUGUAGAGUUAAGUGCUGUGAAAAUUUGGUAGGAUUUGAGUGAGGUUUGAUGAUGAUUUUGGUGAAGAGAGUUUUGAAAGAACUUGGUGUUCUUGUUGCUCUCCUUGGCCGGCUGACAUGAGAGGGAAGAGAGAGGGAAAUUUGAUCAAUUUUCAGCUUCCUUGAGAAGCUUCAAACGUGUGGCCCAUGUUGAUGCAAAAGUCAACUCUUCUACACGGCGCACUCGGGCACGUUUCGUGCUCGAUUUCUCUCGCAUUUGUUUCACUAGUGCACUAAACCUCUAGUACACUUAUAUUCAUACCAAUAUUAUUCACUCUUAAUUGUCCUAAAAUAAGGGUCUAAAGUCCCUCAAUUAAAAUCGCGCGUGUGAAAACGCGUAUCUCCAAUUUGAGCGCGAUAACGCGAAACUUCUGAGAAAUUCUUAUAACGAUAAUACUAAUAACUAUCGCUUGAGUAUUUAAACAUUAAAAUACCUAAUUUUAGGACCAUUGUACAAGUCUCCAUUUUUUCAAACUUAUUGUACUCUCAAUCGGUUAAAAUUUUCCAAACGUGUUUUUAUUUUUCACUGAACAAGCUUCUAAGAAAAUAAUUUUUGAAACGAGACACUUUAAAAAUAUAAUGGAGCUAUAAUACCAUGUACUUAGGUCUAAUAAAGUUAAAAAAUAAUAAUCGAAGCAAAUAUUCAAAUAAAUAAUUAAAUAAGCAAAAAUAGGAGUAAAAAAAUAAUAGUUUUUACGAGUCCUCACAGAACGGAACAUUUAAUGUGUCAUUUCUGAUAAAAGAAGAUUGAUCUUCUUUUUUUCUUUGAUUUUGGGAUGUAAUGCAAAAUAGGUACCUUGGGACCUUUAAUUUCUUCCCCUACUAAUUCUUUUCUUUUUGCUUCUUUUUGAAAAUAAAAUUUUGCGUCGGCAAAGUGAGUUUCGGCUUCAGUGAAAGGCUUAUCAUCGACAGUAACUUUCUUAACUGUACUAUCUCGGCAAUAUUUAAAACAUUGAUGAAGAAUAUAUGGUAUAAUUUCAUUCUCAUGAAUCCAGUGUCUUUCCAAGAGUAUGUUAUAAGAGGUUUUGGCGUCAAUAAUAUGAAAUAACACGCUUGAAGACAACUCGCCAAUAAGCAAUUCAAGCCUUAUGUGACUAAUUACUCUUUACCGCCAUUGAUUAAAUCCUUGGAUCAUAAGGCGGUUUUGAGAGAGUUCAUCGCUUGAAAUUUCGAAUUCUUUCAUAGCACGUACGAACAUAAUGUUGACAGCAGAUCCCCUUUCAAUGAGUAUCCGAUUCAUCUUCUGUUCUCUGACAUAUGCGCUAACAAACAAGGGUCAAUUGUAGAUUUUGGAAUCAACUGUUAAAUAAUCAUUAUCAAAAAUAAUAGUCGUUGCACAAUCUACAGGUGAUUUACUAUCAAUUUUGAAUUUUUCUCAAAUUCAAUGCCAAUUUGUGUGACUUGAAAGUUUUUAGUCUUGAUGACAUUACAAGAAGUGAAAUCAUCAUCAUUAUCACUUAAAUAUCCUUUUGGCGUAAACUCUCUCAGUGUCACAGGUUGUCAAACCUCUUGAAGAAGCGGAUGAUUUGAAGAAACUUGUAUUAGGCCACUCCUUUUUGUAUCUUUGUUACAUUUCGUUGUUUCAUUGCCACUUUAGCCUUUGUCGAACAAAUAUUUUUUGAAAAAAUGUACUUCUUUAUCUUUGGUUUGCAAGUCCUUUUUCGAGUGACUAAAAUUCAUCCAUCAUUAUUAUCUUUAAUAACAUUUUCAAUUGAAGAUUUUUUAAAUUCCCUUUUUACAGACAGAGCAUUGUUUGAUGUGAAUGGAACUUCUAUCGGACAACACACCAACCCAAACAUUAUUGUUGUUGAUUUGCCGAUACAUUAUCCUUCUCAAGAAAGAUUUUUCCUUGACGGAUUCAUUCCACGAUUUUGUCUUUAAAGACAAAGCAUUUAGUGAGAGAGUGGCCAAUCAAAUGAUGGUAACAGCAAUAAUUUGGAUCAUUGACAUGAUCGGCUUCCUCUGGGCACUUCAUGUCGGCCAGUUCAAGGAGUUUCUUCUUGAAAAGAUCAUCAAACAUUCCCUGUAAGUCAAAUUCAAGGAAGGGGUAUUUCUUUUCUUGCAUCUCUUUUAAAGUGGGAUUUCUUACUGACUUAUUCUGGAAGGAGUCUACCUGGUCCGUGACCUUUCGACUCACCUUGAUGGCAAUCUUUAUGGGAGUCGUGUUUAUUGCCAUGGACUCUUUAUUACUGAGUUUUGAAGGACGUUUGCCCCCUUUUUUAUUUUCUUGUCUUUCAUUGCUUUGACGAGACAGUUGCACCUGUAGAGUUUGAAUAGGAAGCCCAUUAGUUGCAUUGGCUGUGAUGCUUGAUUCCAUAUCAUGAGCACAAAUAGCUAAUUCUUCGAAUGUGUUUGGACGUAUACCUUGUAAAAUGUAACUUAAACUCCAAUACAUUCCUCGGAUACACAUUUCUAUGACAAAAGGUUCAGAUAGUCUGUCUUUACAAUUAAGAUUCAAAUUUCUCCACGUAUCGAUGUAGUUGACCACAAGUUCAUAUUUUCAUUGGCGAGUGUUAGUCAACUCCAACAUACUAACGGUUCUUCUAGUGCUGUAGAAGAGAUUCAAGAACUCUUGUUCAAGUUAUUCCUAACUAUCGAUGGACCCCGGUGUAAGAUCAGUGUUCCAAUCAAAUGUGUUACCCUUCAAAGACCGAACAAACUGUUUGACUAAGAGGUCACUGCAGGUUCCAGCAUUAUUGCAGGUCUCAAUGAAAUGAGCCACAUGUUAUUUUGGAUUGUCUUUUCCAUCGAAUUAUUGAAACUUAAGCGGUUGAUAUCCAGCAAACAUUGUUAGGUUGUCAAUUCUAGUAGUGUAAGGUUUGGAGUAAAUAAAGUUUGAUUUUGAAUCACCCUCCUUUUUGUCUUUAAUCACAUCUUCAACAAAUUUCUUCAGUUGUUCUACGGGAAUAGUCCCUCAGCGAUCACAUAUACUUCCUUUACCUUAUCUUUGUCUUUAGAUGAGGGAAUUUCGCGCUCUUGGUGCUUCUUAGAAUUCAUAUGGUUUCCUUCAGGAGCGUGAUCUUUUUGGGUGAGCUGUUGGGUGAUAAGAGUAUCUUGGUCCUUGAUGUGUUUCAUCAAGGUCUCCAUCAUUUUGGACAUGUUUGAAACUUGUUUUUCGAGAUUUAAAGUAUUUGUCAUCAUAGCAGGCAUUACAACAGAAGAAGCAGCGGGAUCUUCAAUAAAAAAAAAACUUUGAUUAAAGAGCUUCAUGGGAAGAGGCUGAUUCGGUGCUUGAUGAAUCAUCAUCAUACUUAGAAAAUUUGGAUCCGGAUCCAAAUUUAAGCAUGGCAAGAGUAUUCUUAAUCGAGACAGGAACGUCUUUGAUUCCAAUUGUGAAAGAAAAGCCCAUUGGUGAUGUUAAACCAAAGACGGGAGUUGACGCAGAUGGAACUUCCAUGCUACUUUGGGUGGAAGUUAUCAUCAUACUUCUUGUCAUAGGACCAACAGCGCCAGUAUUGGUGGUAACAUGUGCAAUUUCCUGAAAAGAUUUGGCAUCAGUAGCCUUGGAAUGUGCAGUUAUGGACUUGUUGUUCUUUGGUGCCAUCGAUGAUAUAUGUAGUUGAAUAUUUAAAGAGAAAAGAUGGAAGACAGAGAUCGUCCCACCGAGCGUGCCAAAAAUUUUUACGCGAUAAAAUUUCAAGUCUGCAAAACGACAAGAAAAAUAUACGACAAUUAUGCAAUAUAUAAUUUAGGAAAAUAUGUGAGUACAGUCUUCGAAAUUUUCUCGAGUUUAUAGAGAGUUUCCUUUGAUUCUUCCCUUCAAACACUAAUACAAGGGUUUCAUAGUUUGUUCUUGAAUCAACCACUAAUCCCUUCAAAUCUUGAUAUGGAAGAUUUGAAGAAUUUAAAAGAUAUUUGAAUACUCUAAGUCUUGAUAUUUGGAAGAUUUGAAGUGCUUGAAAAUUCAGGCCUUUGUAGUUCGGAGAUUCAAUACUUGACCGUAUGAGAUGCCCCUUGAUGUCCCCUGAUUUGGUAGAGAGAUCCCUAUUUAUAGCUGUAGUAUGAUGUAGAGGUUGAAAACAUGUAUACUGUGACGACCCCACUUCUCCCAAGGGCGAACCCGAGAGUAUUAGCGGGCCGCCUGCCUAACUCGCGCCAGGACUCGAAAUUUAAAGCAAUAAAACUAGAUAAACCGAAAGACCACUAUAUACACAAUAUAUACAAUCCCAAAAGUGUUCGAAUCAUCCCAUUACAUCCUUAUGAAUAUAACCAAAACCAAAGAGUAGACCCUAAGAAGGGUUCUUAUACAAACCACCAAAACUAAAACAAACAUCCUAAUUGUCCAACUAUUACAUGCAAAUCUAACUAUACUAGUGUAUGUGUCAAAAAUCCCUGCAUCGGCCCCUGCUAAGGAAAACAUAAGAAAAGGGGUAAGCUAUAUGCUUAGUAAGUAAACAGGGGCAAAAGCGUAAAUCUCACAUAUGUAAGAGUAAAGCAAAAGCAGAAAAAUAACAUCACAUAAUAAGGAUACGGGUGGCUCCAAAGCCAAUUCAUGUGCCAUGUAUGAUCUCUUGCCGACACUCCGUCGACCACAAAUAAUGGUCCGUAGAACUCCACUUGUUCUCUCACCGUACACAUUAUCGCCCUCUCUGGCCAAACACCUCACAAACUUGCUCGAGCGAACGAAAUUGAGCUUAGGUCACAAGCUCGGGUCACAAACUUGGUCCACAUACUCGGUGAACCGGAUUCACAAACUUAAUGACCUCAAUCCAGGUUGGACUGACUUCGACCAAGCCCUAACCGGCUCGAAUAGUCCAUCUAAGUAUUGAGAUCGGGCCCCAAACUCACAAACUUCACAAAAUUAUUCAAAAGUCACCCCGAGCCACAAGCUCAAGGGUUUUAGUUCCAAAAUUGCUCAUAUACACAAGCCAUGUACAAAUAUAUGCGCAAGUUAGGGUUUAGGUCGAGUGCGAUAAAGUACACCCUCACCUAGGUACCCUCUUCAUACAUAUCGAAACAUAUAAGCAACUAACACACAAGAGCGGCCUGAAUACUUACUCAAAAUACAAAAGUAGUACAAGAGCAAAAUCACGUCGUGCGUGUUCGCUAGUAGUGGGCCCCACCGGCUCCGCCAAACUCACCACUGUCUGAAAUAGAAGAUUGCAUCACAUAUUAUCACAAACGGCCAAUAACGUGCCCAAAACAAGCAAAACGGCAAAAUCGGCACAUGCAAGUGCGGAAACGGCAAAAUGGCGCGCGGAACGGCAAACGGAAAUGGCCAAAUCUGCCAUCUCAAACCGUUUUGAUCAAAAGUUAGGCUAGGAAUAUUAGUUCAAGGUGAAUGAGACACCGUUUCGAAGCUAUGAGGAAGGGCUACAAUUCUCCUGAAGACACCUUAAUCUAGAUCUGAAUGGAAGCAGGUCGAAAUUAUGGAAAACUGUACCAGAAAUUUAAGUCUUAGGGUGACGAACAGGGUUUGUUUGCUGGAUAAUAACUCACAGCUCACAAAUCCAAAUCAAGAAAUUCCAAAGGCCUUGGAAAGCUAAGACAUAAAUCUAUAACUUUCAUGUUUGGACCAAAAGCUGAAUCAUUACCGAGCAUGGAGGAAAACGGGUCCAAACAUUCUUGUCAGAACUGUCCAAUGUGCAGGCAGUUCUGACAAUCGAUCUUGUUUUGGUCAUAACUGAAGCUACGGGACUCGGAUUUGGAUGUACUUUAUACCGUUUCGAAGAUGAGACCAAGAUCUAUAUUUCUUAUGAAGGGAUCAACACCCAGUUCGCACGUUAUCAAAACGGAUAAAACAUGGGCAGAAGCAAAAGUCAAAACGUAACACAUUUCAGGGUACAAAACAGGUGCUAGUGUUUUGUCUAUAACUCGGACUACACUGAUCUGUUUGACCUGAAAUUUUGCAGGAAUGUUCAGGACAUAAGAGGCUACAACUUUCAUGUUUUGAGAAACUUCUGAAUCAAUACGUAGUAUCAAGAAAAAUGGAACCGAAAUUCCGAUGCUGAACUGCCCUGGUUACCCGUUUUGCCGGUUUCCAAUGUCGCAAACACAUGGUUCAUUUCUAUGGUUCUUAUGCAAGGUUUCCAACCAAAUUCAUACCAACUAAGCACACAUAUACUAACUUCUAAAUGACCUACAAAUGGUCCAAAGGUUUCCCUCUAAGCCACUACAAAAUUGCCAAAACUAACCAUGAUCCUUAAACUAACUUUAUUUGCAUUACCAAACUUAAUCUAACAACUUACUAACCAAACCCUAACUAACUAAACAUUAGCCAAGCUAAACCAACCUAAGGAAGCCUAGGGUUUCUUAACCCAAAUCAGUUUUUACCAUCCACUUCACCAAACAAAUAAAACAAAUCAUCAAACACAACCAUUACAAUCUUCAUAACACAAAAUUAGAGCUACUUAACUUGUUUAGCAUGAAACCCUAAUUAGGGCUCCUAUGGCUGAAUCAUCAAGGCCCCAAAAUUGACCAAAUUACUCCAUAAAAACAAGUGAUAGACAUAAGAGGUACCAUAAUCAAGCACAACUAAGAUUCUUUACCAAAAAUAGCCACUAGUUCAUCAAUCAAUAAUCAACUUAAGUCUUCAAAUAGACUUUCUUACCUCAAGAUUAAGUAUGUAUGAUGGCUAAUGACCUUAAGCCAACUCCAAAGUGGAUUUUUUAUGCUUCAAAAUGAAGAUUUAUGGAAGGAAAUUGAUUGAACUUCACAAACUUCCCUUGGUUUCUCCCUUCAAGGUGGCCGGCCCUCUCUCUCACUUUUUCUCUUUAAUUUUUGUUUUGUUUGUCUUACAAAUGACUUAUAAUCCUAAGGUAAUAAAUAGUCAAAGACAAUAGAAGAUAUUUUUAGGCUAACCAAUCACAUAAAAAUGCUUUAUUUGCCUUUUAAACCCUUGCACUUCAACCUAGCUUUUAUUCUACUCUUGCCCUCAAACAUUUGAUAAUCUUUCAAUUAACUCCAUAGGUCAUAACUUAAUCUAGUCUAAAACAUGUAAUCACGCUCAAUUACUUCACUAAUCACUUUCCUAUUUUAAUCACCUAUACUUAAAUAUACUUUUUCCAUAAUAAAAACAAUCAAACAACAACUUUUAUAACAUUAGCAAAAUUAGGGUUUUUAAACCCCACUUAAGUUUUCUAAUAAAUUGUAACACUAGAGGUUUGCUAAUCUAGAGUUUGCUAACCAUUUCAAACUUGCUAAACCUUUGUAAACUAAAACGAAUCCUAAACUUACGUAUGCCAAAACGCACACUAGAACACCGAAUAUAAAUUAUAGCUCGAACCUACGAAUAAUAAUACAUAAACUAGGGUUUUCAAUCUUAACCAAGAUUAGGAUUUUCUCCUUAGCCCUAAAACCCUAAUUUCACCACACCGAAUAAUGAAUAACCCUAACACUACAAGAAAAUUGUUCAUCAGUGACAACACAAAGUCAUCACAGAACAUACAAAUAUCGUCACAAAUACCUUUUAUUGACGACUUUUUGAUCGUGACAAAGUCGUCACUAAAUCCCCGUCGGUAAAAGUAAACAGUGUAGGUCGUCACUAAAUAGUUCUCAUUAGUGACGACUUUAAGUAGAGUAUUUUUGACAAAAGAUCAAUUCGUCAAUAAAACACUUCCAGAUUGUCGUCACUAAUGACAACUAUUUAGUGACAACUAUUUGGUCGUCACUAAAUAGUUGUCAUUAGUGACGAUAAUCUGGAAGUGUUUUAUUGACGAAUUGACCUUUUGUCAAAAAUGCUCUACUUAAAGUCGUCACUAAAAAGCACCGAAGCCAUUGUAUAUAACUAUUUUACUGACAACAAUUGUCGUCACAAAUGUAACUUAGAUUUAGUGACAGUCUCUGUUGUGACAAGGAGUUUUUAUUUUCUAUUUUGUGACAACUUUUUUUUGUCAUUAGAUAAUUUCAUAAUAGCUUAAUAGUCAUAAUUUGGCCUGUAAUCAUUGCUAAAUCAUUGAUUUUAAACAAACCAUACAAAUAAACAUGAACGAUUGAUAACCAAAAGUAUUUGCAUUAGAUUACAUGGUAAUAAUAUAGCAUUCUCAAAUGCCAAAUUCAAGUGUACAUUGCCCAACUAAUGCCUACAAAAAUAACAUUUGUCCAAAAUAUCACUUGUACAUAAGGUACAUUUACAAAAGCAAUCACAGUUUAAGAAAUUGAAGAACAUCUAAAUGAACCACUCAUGAGCAAAAGGCAAUUUUGUCUUCAACAUUCUUCAACCAUAACCAUAGAUAUCUUCCAAAAGCUAGUAUGAAUAGCAUUUAUCUGUCAUAAAAGAGUAAAAGAAGUAGGUAAGGGGAGGAGUACAAUAAUAAAGAACAAGUAAUGAGACUUAGAUUAUUAAGACAAAAAUUACAAUUCAUUAAGAACCUCAUAUAAUUUGGGCCCACAUAUUACAACACCAGCAAGAAGUUAGAAAUCACAGUCCAAUCUAUACAAAUACAACACUGCAUAAGCUCAACUAAAGAGCUCUCUAAAACAGUUUUUUUUAAUUAUCUUUCUUCUUCUUUAAAUAGCUCAACUUAUUGAACAAUUAAAUUGGACUCCCACAGUAAUUAUUGUUUAAUGUUUAUGCUUUUGGUUGUUUAUAUAUUAAAACUAGGUGAUUGCUUCCCACGCAAGGCGUGGGAACUUUAGACCUGUUAGUAAGGUUGUAUUUGUUAUUGUAAUAUUUUUAAUAUUUUAGAUGAUGAAAAGAGUGAUGUGGUGUGUAUCGUGAACUUGGGCUGGGAGUGAAAAGGAGUAUUAGUCAAAAAUAUAUUAGUUCAAAGAGUAGUCAUGUACUAAUACAAAGGAUACAGCCAAUGCAGUAAUGAUGAUUCACAAGAAAAAGGAAAGCAUGAUAUUUACAUAUACAGCAGUAAUUUAGUAUAGAUGAUUCAAAAGAAAGAGGCUCCUUUGACGUUCAAAUACAUUCCAUUAACAUGUAACAACAACUCAGAUGACAAUGAAAUAAAUUCACAAGUACUAAUCACUUGGUCAUUACUGCAGUAACAGUUAAUGGAAGUAGCAAGAUAUUGCUACAACUUGGUCACAUGCAAAUUUUUUUUUUGUUCUGGGUUCACAAGGAAUGAAUUCAUAAAUUAUGAAGCAGCAAAAUAAAUUCACAAGUACCAAUCACUUGGUCAUUGCCACAGCAACAGUUUCAAUACCAACAGUUUCAACUUUCUUGAGACAAUCAAGUUGCAUCUUAAGUUUGCAAAAUAUCAAGUUUUACAUGUCCAUUAAAAAUUUUAAAAAGUACCUUUGCUUUCAUCACCACCUUUCCGGCUUAGAAUACCUCCUUGAACACCACCCCCAUAAGCCACUGCUUCAUCUGGUUUUACACUCUUGUUGGGUUCCUUUCCAUCAAAGUAGUCCUUGAGAAGUUAUUGGACUUUUGGGAUCCUGGUAGCCCCACUAACAGGAACAAUUUCAUGCAUCUGGUGGUUCUCCAAACCAGCAUCCCCCAUAGCCUUCUUGACAAGUCCCAUGUUUUUGCUAAAGAGGUCAUUGUUCAACUCGUCAAAUCAAGCAUGAGUCCUAACUUGCUGCUGGCUGCUUAAAGCUCUUUUGGCACGUUCAGCUUCCCUCGGUUUUCCAAGUGGUCUAUUGUGGUUGCUGAUGUUCUUUCCAUGUUUCUUGUUAAUCAACUUGAUGAAAUAUUCUAUAAUCCUUUGAUGAAAGCCUUUGCCUACAAUAAAACAGAGCAAUUAGAACCAUAUGAAAGCUUUUUAUAAGAAAUGUAACUAAUAAAACUUAUACAAGAAAUUGGUUGCUUUAAUCAUUGUUCAAUAUUUUGCAAAAUCAACAGUUAAUUAGUGUAGUUAGAUAAACUUUUUUAAUUCGUAGUUAGACAGGCAACUGCUGCUGCUCUGGGUUCAUUGAUAGUCCUAGCAACAUUCAGCCCAGCAAUAAUACCUGCAUUCUUUGUUGCCUGCCUCUGGGCAUCAUUGAAGUAAAAUAUGAUUCAACGAGUAACUCUAGAAAUUGAACUAUACCGGGAACAGUUACCACAACAUCCUUAAUUUUCUUUGCAAGGAAAGCUUCAGCUGCUUCUUUCAUCUUAGUUAAAACCAUUACACUAAUUUCCUCAAGACUGAAGACUUUAACCUUACUAUCCUUAAUUUUCACCUAGAUAUAAGGUUUUCCAUCCUUGUUCACAAUCUUACAAGGAACGAGCUUCAUAUCCCUCUAAACUUCAUUAGUCUCAAUCCUGUUAUAUAACAGUUAAGACUUCAGUGAGCAUAUGUAUACACACCAAAAUGUUCCAGCAAAAAUGAUAAAUACACGAGUGUGCCUUACUUUCAUCCAAUAAGUCUCUUGACAUCAAAGAUAGUUCUUUCAACAUUAACAUCGAAUCAGUCUUUCGCUACCAGCAAAUGCAAUCCAUGAUGGCUUAAUACGAUUCCUUGGUCAUUUGCUGUGAUUUCAACAUGACCAUUUUUGUAAAUAUGAGCACAUGUAUAGGUAGUUCCAAGAUCUAUUCCAAUGACUAUUCCCAAUUUUGCAGCUUAUUCUUUGGUGAUGGAAAUUGUAGAUAGACAGCCUUUUGCACCGAAAAAUAUUAUUGGAAAAAGUAAAACUCUUAUGUAUAGUUUUUGAGAGAAAAAAACUAAAACACUGCAGGAUGAAGCAAUUCCACACUCAUGAUGAAAUCCACAAUUACUCGAGCAACCGUGGGAUUGAAGAGUUCGAAGAGCUUGCUCAAACAUUGUGGUGACCAUCCCAAGAACAAGUGGAAAAAAUAAGAACUCAUUUAAUUUCAAGAAAAUGAAAUGAACAUCAAGUAUCAAACUAACAAACAGUGCAGGAACAGAAGAAGGAUAUGAACUGCGAAGAACAAUCUGAUAGAUAGCCUAGUGGUUAAUGGUUUUUUUUUCCCAUCUCCCUUUUUUCUUCCUUCCCAAUCCUUCCUUGCUAAAAAAUGGCUUUGAAAGUAUCAAAUAGUACCUAUCAAAUUAGCGAACUGAGUUAGUUUAAAGAAGAUCCUAUAAUAGUUAUUCUAAAAAUCUUUAGUCACUUGCUACGUGAGGAGGGCGUGGCAGAUAAUAACUCUUUGUUUUUUGGCUCAUUUCGAAUUGAUAUACUUUUUGGCUUAAUUGGAGAGAACUAAUUUGAAUCAUUUCCAACCAAUUUACAGAUAAAAAAAAUUUCAUUUAUAUUAGAAAGCCGCAAGAUUUUUCCAAACUUUAUCAACCACGCUGCAUAUCACAUGAUAUUAUUCCCAUUCAAUUGUUGAUGGAGGCUUGGAAAUAAUAUCUUGAACAACUCGAUUUACACCACGUACACUAUUGCAUAUCUUUCUUGCAACAACAUCAAGGAAAUUGUGUUCAAAAUUGUACCAGUCAGCAGUCAUCCCAUAUUGACUUGUGACAGCUCUCAAUGCAACAACAUGAGAAUGUGUUCUUUGAUCACCUUGAACUCCAACAGACCUUAUGGGCAAGAAAACAGCAAAAGCUUGCUAUAUUUUAAAAAAAACAACCAAACCAAAUCAAACCAACCUUUACUAAUGAUUCUAAGAAAAACCCACUUCAAUUUUGCCAAGAAAAAAAUUGCAAAACAAAUGAUACAGGAAAAGAAACAUCCAACUUCAUAAAACUAAACAAAAAAGCCAUAGAAAACAACAGAAAACGUAAAUGGAGUUUGAAAGUGAUAUUCUUAGAAGGGUUCAAAUGCAACUAAAUAGGGACUUAACUGAAUGAAUUAUGGAUGUUUUAGGGUCGAAUUACGAAGUUCAGGAACUCUGGGGCUAAAUUACAAAAAAGAAAAUGGAAUGACCGGAAUUGCAAAUUUAAGCAAACGAUCGUCUUCCCCAAGCAGAUUAGGCAUCAAUCUUCUAUUUAGACCUUCACUCGGGCAUUUUAACAAACAGUACAUGGGCAUAGAAGGAUCCAGCAAUUUUUGCUCAAUUGGGACUGUAAUUAGCCCCCCAAAAUUUGUCAAAACACAAGAGAUUUCAGUCCAAACAACAUACAAUAGCAUACAAUCUAAAAUCGUUAGCAAUCAACAUGAAGUUGGCACUGAACAAACGCAUGGCAAACAUGCUUUGAGACUUUUCAAUGUUCAUACUAAAAAUGGAAAACUAAAAUUCAAAGAAGGCAGACGGCUUACAGCGUUUGCUUGGCGAAGUCUGUAGGCGAUGGUGAUGGUCGAAGGAAGGUGCGAAUGAUCAGGCGGCUGUAGCUGCCAUGGUAGCCGCGCUGGAGCUGGGCGCCAGUGGUGGGUGGCAACAUGAAAUCGAGGAGCGACAGUGAGAGAGAAAGGCCGUGCGGGAAGGGGAGAUGCGUCAGGCAGCUAGGCGGCGCACGAAAUGGAGGUGCCGUGGCGGAACUUGGAGGCGGCGGAAAUUGGAUGAGAGCAGAGUGAUGGCAGCUAUGGAGAUUGCGCGCUGUGAUGGCCGAUGAGCGGCUGUUGCUCUGUAUUUUCUUUGUGUCCCCUCCAGGCCAAGACCUUUCUCUGUUUCUGGUUUCACUUCCUCAAUCACCAGCCCCCAAAUGAAACUUUAGUCUUUUCCUUCGUUCCCCUGCCAACGUCCCCCUUUUCUUCCUCGACAGCUAAAAGAUUUUGGGCAGAAAUUUGCAAAAAAUAUUGUAGAAUAUUAGGGAUUUGGAAAAAUUGGGGAAAAUGUAUAGGAGAGAGAAAAAUGAACCUUUCCAAUGAAAACCUUGCCCUUUAAUGCUGGACAGCCAUGGUGAUGCUAGUGAGAAGCCAGAGAACGGAUUUGUUGUGUGGGUGAAGGUAUCAGGUGCCGUGCGGAAGCUCUGUUUUGUGCUCAGUGCAGAAGCUUGUUUGUUUCAGCUCGGUGAAAGUUUGUGUUGCUCAAGUGUUCCGUUGCUUUAACUCAGACCAAGUGUUCCGUUGCUUUUCUUUUCAGAAUGUGUUCCGCUGCUUUGGUCUUUGCUUUGCUUUGGAUAUUGUUUUUGUUGCGCGGCACUUUCACUAUGAUUUGAUCAAAAUUUUGACUUCACUCAUUUUCCCUCCAUUUGAUACCAAAAAUCAUGUUUUUUUCUGGAUUUGUAAUAUGGUUUGAACCAUAGAUUUUAAUGCUAUAGUAUUAUUUUUUAUUUUUUAGCAAAAAAUAAAAAUUUUCAUCAACAUAGGUGGCAAAAUUUGUUAAUUUCAUAUAAUUGAAAAUGUACUUUUAUAAUUUGCUAAUAUUUUAUACUAAUUUCUUAUAAUUGCAGCACUAAAGAACAUCAUGUAAUUGAAAAUAAUUAAACUCAAAUUAUAUGGUUAUAACAUAGUUUCAAUAAAAAUAAUCAUUUUCCCAACAUUUGAGACCAAUCAUCAUGCUUUUUUAUUUUUAAUUUGGUUUGAAGCAUAGAUUUUAUUGCUAUAGUAUUAUUCUUUAUUUUUUAGUACAAAAACACAAAUUUUCAUCAAUAUAGGUGGCAAAAUUUGUUAAUUACAUAUAAGUGAAAAUAUACUUUUAUAAUUUGUAAAUAUUUUAGCCCUGCAAUUUUGUAUAAUUGGAGCACUAAAGUACAUCAUUAAUUGAAAAUAACGAAAGUCAAAUUCUAUGGUUAUAACAGACUUUCAUUAAAAAUAAUCAAAUACUAUUAAUAAGACAUUAUUGUUAAGUCAAAAUCAAAGAAAAUUUGGUGAUGACAUAAUGUUAUCACUAAUUUAUUCAAGAUUAUAAUGACAAGAAAAGUCGUCACUAAUUAAAUUGCUAGUUUUUAAUAUUGUCAAUUGCUAGUUUUUAAUACUUUUGUGAAAAUAUUGAUAAUGGUUGAGAAAAUUUUGUUACAUUACUGCAAGUGAUAAAUGUACUUUUGUUCUUUUUCAAACAUUUAUUUUAAUGUUUAAUUUUGUUUAAAACUAUUGUACUAGUAUAGAUUUGCAAAACAAAACUUAAGUUCUCAAUAGUUAAAAAAUUCAUUACAGAGAAAACACAAAGUAGUAGUUGCAAAAUGUGUAUAAAUUACAGAUAUUUUAAUGUGUAUAAAUUACAGUUUAUUUUAAUAUUUAAUUUUGUUUGAAACUAUUUUACUAGUAUAGAUUUGCAAGACAUAGAUUUAUGGGUAAUUUUUUUUUUUCCUUUCACAUAUUUAAUUUAUGUUAAAUACAAAACCUACCAGUUUCCCUUUCAUAAAAAUAUUAGUGCAACACUUUUUGAAUUUUACUUACAAACAUUUAUGUAUUUAACGUAAAUUAAAUGAUUCAGAGUGAAAUGCCCAUAAAGAGCAGAAUAUUUAUUCAUGUAAUGGAGGAAACCCACAAAGAGUUGGUACUUUAUGGGUCAUUUCUUUUUUUAAAAAAAAAUUAAUUUAUGUUGAAAAGAUAACCUGCCAGUUUUUGUUUUGUAAGAAAUCAGUGUAAUACUUUUUAAAUUUUACUUACAAACAUUUAUAAAUUUAUCAUAAAUUAUAUGUUUGAGAGUAAAAUGCCCAUAAAAAGUUGGUACUUUAAAUAGAUAAUGCUCAUUUGCCCAUAAACUACACUCUCUAAAGGCUAUUUUGUUAAUUACUUUGUAGUACUUUGUUAUUCCUUUGCUAAUACUACUUGGCAUGUAGUACAAAGGAUAAAUCUGGCAUAAAUUUCUUAUUCCAUUGAUAAAAAGACCUGCCUGCCUUAUAACUAUUGUAAUGAAAGAUAUAUCUUUAGAGUUUAUAACAAAUUAUUACUUAAGUUUGAGAAAAUUAUAAAAUAUUUAUGCAUAGUUUAUCAAGAUACCAUUCGCAAUUUCCUAAUAAAAAAAUAGGGGCUAAAUUGUAAAAGCUAGGGUGCCAUAAUAGAAAUAAUAAAAUUGGUGUAUUACAUAUGGGGGUUAAAUUGCAAAAGUUAGAGUGCCAUAGUAGAAUUAAUAAAAUUGGUGAAUUACAUAUGGGACUAAAUUACAAAAGUUAGGGAGUAAUAAUAGAAUUAAAGAAAUCGGUGCACUACAUAUAGGGCUAAAUUGUAAAAGUUAAGGUAUCAUAAUCGAAUUAAUGGAAUUUUUUACAACAUUUGGGGCUAAAUCGCAAAAGUUAGGGUGGCACAGUAGAAUUACAGAAAGUGACUUAGAAAUAAGUACUUUAAACAGUGACGAUUAAUUCUUGUCACUAAAUCCAAAUCGGUAGAGUGACAGUGACGAUAUUAGAAGUUGUCACUAUAUAGAUCAUUUUAGUGACAACUUUUUCAAGGUCGUCACUGAAAACUUAGUUGCUUUGAGCAAUUAUGACAACUUUCCUUGUCGUCACUAAACAACCACGUUUUGUGACGACUUUUGUCGUCACUAAAAAAUGUUGUCACUAAUGACCAUAUUUUUGCAGUGUAGUUUGUGACGAAAAUAACGGGUCAUUACUAAACAUUUAGUUGCUUUAAUGCAAUUAUGACAACUUUAGGUGUCGCGACUAAAGAAGCUCCUUUUGUGACGACUUAUUGUCAUCACUAAAAAAUGUUGUCACUAAUAAAAUUUUUUUUUAGUGAUCAGUGACGACAACAAAAAGUCGUCCGUAAAUAGGCCAAGCAAUAGUGAUGAUGUUCUUAAUGUCGUCACUAUUGUGUGUUCUAAACACUCCCGCGCUCUUGCUAAAACUUGGCGAGAUAUUACUAGUGACGAAAAGUCGUCACAAAUGAGUUGGCUCCCAUUAGAGGUUUGUCACGAGUUAGAAAGUCGUCAAUAAAGGAUCCACUUUUGUGACAACUUUUUUUCGUCACAGAGAAAAGUAAAUCUCACAUAUGUAAGAGUAAAGCAAAAGCAGAAAAAUAACAUCACAUAAUAAGGAUACGGGUGGCUCCAAAGCCAAUUCAUGUGCCAUGUAUGAUCUCUUGCCGACACUCCGUCGACCACAAAUAAUGGUCCGUAGAACUCCACUUGUUCUCUCACCGUACACAUUAUCGCCCUCUCUGGCCAAACACCUCACAAACUUGCUCGAGCGAACGAAAUUGAGCUUAGGUCACAAGCUCGGGUCACAAACUUGGUCCACAUACUCGGUGAACCGGAUUCACAAACUUAAUGACCUCAAUCCAGGUUGGACUGACUUCGACCAAGCCCUAACCGGCUCGAAUAGUCCAUCUAAGUAUUGAGAUCGGGCCCCAAACUCACAAACUUCACAAAAUUAUUCAAAAGUCACCCCGAGCCACAAGCUCAAGGGUUUUAGUUCCAAAAUUGCUCAUAUACACAAGCCAUGUACAAAUAUAUGCGCAAGUUAGGGUUUAGGUCGAGUGCGAUAAAGUACACCCUCACCUAGGUACCCUCUUCAUACAUAUCGAAACACAUAAGCAACUAACACACAAGAGCGGCCUGAAUACUUACUCAAAAUACAAAAGUAGUACAAGAGCAAAAUCACGUCGUGCGUGUUCGCUAGUAGUGGGCCCCACCGGCUCCGCCAAACUCACCACUGUCUGAAAUAGAAGAUUGCAUCACAUAUUAUCACAAACGGCCAAUAACGUGCCCAAAACAAGCAAAACGGCAAAAUCGGCACAUGCAAGUGCGGAAACGGCAAAAUGGCGCGCGGAACGGCAAACGGAAAUGGCCAAAUCUGCCAUCUCAAACCGUUUUGAUCAAAAGUUAGGCUAGGAAUAUUAGUUCAAGGUGAAUGAGACACCGUUUCGAAGCUAUGAGGAAGGGCUACAAUUCUCCUGAAGACACCUUAAUCUAGAUCUGAAUGGAAGCAGGUCGAAAUUAUGGAAAACUGUACCAGAAAUUUAAGUCUUAGGGUGACGAACAGGGUUUGUUUGCUGGAUAAUAACUCACAGCUCACAAAUCCAAAUCAAGAAAUUCCAAAGGCGUUGGAAAGCUAAGACAUAAAUCUAUAACUUUCAUGUUUGGACCAAAAGCUGAAUCAUUACCGAGCAUGGAGGAAAACGGGUCCAAACAUUCUUGUCAGAACUGUCCAAUGUGCAGGCAGUUCUGACAAUCGAUCUUGUUUUGGUCAUAACUGAAGCUACGGGACUCGGAUUUGGAUGUACUUUAUACCGUUUCGAAGAUGAGACCAAGAUCUAUAUUUCUUAUGAAGGGAUCAACACCCAGUUCGCACGUUAUCAAAACGGAUAAAACAUGGGCAGAAGCAAAAGUCAAAACGUAACACAUUUCAGGGUACAAAACAGGUGCUAGUGUUUUGUCUAUAACUCGGACUACACUGAUCUGUUUGACCUGAAAUUUUGCAGGAAUGUUCAGGACAUAAGAGGCUACAACUUUCAUGUUUUGAGAAACUUCUGAAUCAAUACGUAGUAUCAAGAAAAAUGGAACCGAAAUUCCGAUGCUGAACUGCCCUGGUUACCCGUUUUGCCGGUUUCCAAUGUCGCAAACACAUGGUUCAUUUCUAUGGUUCUUAUGCAAGGUUUCCAACCAAAUUCAUACCAACUAAGCACACAUAUACUAACUUCUAAAUGACCUACAAAUGGUCCAAAGGUUUCCCUCUAAGCCACUACAAAAUUGCCAAAACUAACCAUGAUCCUUAAACUAACUUUAUUUGCAUUACCAAACUUAAUCUAACAACUUACUAACCAAACCCUAACUAACUAAACAUUAGCCAAGCUAAACCAACCUAAGGAAGCCUAGGGUUUCUUAACCCAAAUCAGUUUUUACCAUCCACUUCACCAAACAAAUAAAACAAAUCAUCAAACACAACCAUUACAAUCUUCAUAACACAAAAUUAGAGCUACUUAACUUGUUUAGCAUGAAACCCUAAUUAGGGCUCCUAUGGCUGAAUCAUCAAGGCCCCAAAAUUGACCAAAUUACUCCAUAAAAACAAGUGAUAGACAUAAGAGGUACCAUAAUCAAGCACAACUAAGAUUCUUUACCAAAAAUAGCCACUAGUUCAUCAAUCAAUAAUCAACUUAAGUCUUCAAAUAGACUUUCUUACCUCAAGAUUAAGUAUGUAUGAUGGCUAAUGACCUUAAGCCAACUCCAAAGUGGAUUUUUUAUGCUUCAAAAUGAAGAUUUAUGGAAGGAAAUUGAUUGAACUUCACAAACUUCCCUUGGUUUCUCCCUUCAAGGUGGCCGGCCCUCUCUCUCACUUUUUCUCUUUAAUUUUUGUUUUGUUUGUCUUACAAAUGACUUAUAAUCCUAAGGUAAUAAAUAGUCAAAGACAAUAGAAGAUAUUUUUAGGCUAACCAAUCACAUAAAAAUGAUUUAUUUGCCUUUUAAACCCUUGCACUUCAACCUAGCUUUUAUUCUACUCUUGCCCUCAAACAUUUGAUAAUCUUUCAAUUAACUCCAUAGGUCAUAACUUAAUCUAGUCUAAAACAUGUAAUCACGCUCAAUUACUUCACUAAUCACUUUCCUAUUUUAAUCACCUAUACUUAAACAUACUUUUUUCAUAAUAAAAACAAUCAAACAACUUUUAUAACUUUGGCAAAAUUAGGGUUUUUAAACCCCACUUAAGCUUUCUAAUAAAUUGUAACACUAGAGGUUUGCUAAUCUAGAGUUUGCUAACCAUUUCAAACUUGCUAAACCUUUGUAAACUAAAACGAAUCCUAAACUUACGUAUGCCAAAACGCACACUAGAACACCGAAUAUAAAUUAUAGCUCGAACCUACGAAUAAUAAUACAUAAACUAGGGUUUUCAAUCUUAACCAAUAUUAGGGUUUUCUCCUUAGCCCUAAAACCCUAAUUUCACCACACCGAAUAAUGAAUAACCCUAAUAUCAACUUACGAACUGACUGGGGCCUCACAUAUACCACUCUACUUGUCUUGUAAGACAUGUAGUCAUACUAGAAAUGUGCCAACUUAAAUAUUAUCUCUUUAUUUUGUAUUUAUUAAUAAAGAGAUAAUACCAAUAAGUAAUUCCUUGAUUGGCCAAACUUGUAAAUACAUACGACGUUGCAUCAUUUGAUUGGGCAACCUUGCAGUAUAUAAGAUAUCUACAUGGAUUAAAUAAUCCUAAAUAUUAUUUUUUUAAUAAAGAAAUAACAUUUAGAUUGUAAGGAUCGAAGACAACCAAGUGGAAGAGAUAAACAAUGUAAAGAUCACAAGCGUAACAAAAAGUGAAUAAAAAGGAAAGAAUUGCAAACCAAUUAACUACCCAACUCCUCUUGAGCUUGUAGAUUAAUUCAAACAAGUUUUUUCAAAUUGAUGAAUUACAAUCACUCUUGUGUACAAAGGAAGGUUCACCUCCUCCUUGCCCCAAACUCCACUCGGUCAAGUUAGGACGUUUUACUAUCCCUCAGGACAACCCUCACAGAGCUACACUCAUGAAGUAUUCACUCACAAAUGAAAAGCUUACAAUGAACCUCACACCACUAAGACUACAAAUCUUCUUUGAAGAGUAUUUUCUCACUAAAAUCACUCUAGAUCUUUUGUAUCUUCAGUGUGCAAAAGUUGUUUGAAGUAUCUGACCAACCACUAUUUAUAUAGGAUCAAGAAAGUGCCUCAUUAGUGCUUCCAACGGAUAGAAAGUAGCUGAAGAGUCAACUAGCCGUUGGAGUGUCGGACGUCCGAUAGCCCUGUUUUAUGCGUCCGACAGCAGGCAGUGAGUUUAAGAGAUUUUCUUCAAUUCUUUCGGACGUCCGGUGCAUGCUUUUUGUGCGUCCGACAGCAAACAAAGAGAUUUGAGAAAUUAUCUUGUUUCUAUUGGACGUCCGGUAGAGACAUAUUUAGCGUCCGAUAGUUUUGUCGACUUUGAAGGAUCCUAUCGGGCGUCCGAAGCAUGCGUCCGAAGUUGUGCAAUGAUUAUCGGACGUCCGGUACUGUCUUCUUGAGCGUCCUGCAGGUUCAGCAUACUCUGUCUUUUUCAAAUGUGCUUAAUCUUUGAACCUGAUUUGUUUCAUUACUGAAAAAGCCUUUGAAGAGAUGUUAGCAACAUCCAUUUGUUUUGUAAUCAUCAAAAGUUAGGGACCAAGGUCAACAUAGAUAUUUAUCCAUAAUUUUGCCAAGUCAUAUAGACAUGUGACGCGGCAUAAUUUGACUGGCAAAAAUAUCUUGGAGAUUUUAAUUGGCUGCAACACCUCGUCUUGACAUGUGGAGAGAUAAAAUUGGUUACUGAAUAGUCAAAUUUUCAAGUGUGCCUGACGUAUGGUCAUACUCAAUUGAAUAAAAAUAAGCCAUAGAAAUGAUUUAUAGACCAACGGUAAUUUUUAGAAUUUAAUUAAAAUCUCAUUGCCUACAAUAUAUAUAUAUAUAUAUAUAUAACAUUAUUUUUUGUAUUUCAAAUAGGUCUCAUUAUAUUUUUAAAUUUUCAGAUUCUAUCAUUUUAUAGUUCUCCGAAUUUAUGUAUGCAUUCUUAUUAAAUGUAAUUUCUUUCUUGUACAGCUUUUUCCAAAUUUUUCUUUUCUAUCUCUAAUGAUAUAUUUAAUGCUUCUAUUAUAAUUUCUUCAAAAUGGUUUUUAUUUAUAAGAUUUCUUACUUUAUUUAUUUUAACUUUUAUUGCUAAGUCUUUACUAAUGUAUUUUUGAGAAUCUUGGCAAUAUGUUAUUCUUUCUGGCCUAUUCAUUGUUCAUCUAAGUGUUCAUUUCUAUAGUGGUCUGUAAAUUCUUUGUUUAUUUGUGCAUAUUUAUUAGUUAUUAAAUAUUUUUCAUGUUCUGCUUCUCUUAAGGUCUGGUAUUUAUCAUGACAGGUAAUGGGAUGACAAUUAUUCAAAGUAAAUGAAGCCACCUUUCUUGAUAAUAUGCAAUUCUUUCAUUUAAUUAUUGUAACUGAUAUGCAUAUUCUUUAACAAGAAAUAACAUUAAAUCACAUAUUUCACAUUCUUCCAUUUUAAGGAGAAGAAUAGUGCCAAUCAGAAUCAUCAAAUUCUAUUCCAUUAUCAAAAUAUCUAAUAGAAACUGGGUUUGCAUCAUAUUCUUCAUUAGAAAUAUAAUCAUCAUUAUUAUUUAAGGGAAUAUGUAGAUCAUUUCUAGGUUCUGAUACCAUUUCGGUGCCCAAAUUUAAGUCAAAAUUGAAGUUUGGGUUGACUAACAAAAUAUUUAUAUUUAUGAUUCUUGAUGUAAAGGAUAUUUUUAUUUGUAAAGCAUAUUCAAGAUAUAUUAUAUUUAUUGAUAAAGUAUUAAAUGAGUUUGUAGAAUCUUCCAUAAAAUUUUUUCAGGAUAAUAGAGUGCAUACCAUAUCUUAGCCUAACAAUUUCAUAUCAGUAAAAGAAAAAGGGUCCAUCACACUUCCAUACUUUAUAUCUUAGUUUUUAUCAACAAAACUCUAGCUACCUCCCUGAGGAUCUCUUACUUGGGCGUUUCAACCUCCAACCAUAAGGGUGACUUUCUUUAAGGGCCGCUUCAGAAUUUUGCAGUAUAGUUUAGUUUCGUUUCCUACCUCUAAGCGUACUCAAAUAUAAAGAAUGAAGAGGUAUGAAGAAACUUUCUUCUUUUAUUGAUAAGGAAAUUAUAGUACAAGAUAGGUUGGCACACUACUCUCUCUCUCUCUCUCUUAUUAACUAGACAUGAAUGAGAGAAAUGCUUCAAGGCAAAGUUGCUUCUACGUGGGCUCGAUUCACCUCGUUUACAAGUAGUCAUCCUAUUUAUAGAGGUUGCGGAUUUCAUUGUCGGAUAUUAAUUGAUACUUUUCACGGACUUUAACUUGCUUCGAUCCCGCGGAUUUAACCAAAAUAUUUUGGAUUUCGAGAAUGACUUGAGUGCUUAUGUUUUAUUCCAUACUUCGAUUGCUUGAGGCGAGAUCCUUAUUUCUUUUUUCUCCUUAGUACAAGCCACAUACAUGUUACUUUUGUACUUUUUCAUCCUGCAAAAAGUUUUGAUAGCUUUGUUGUUGGACAAACGCUUUCAAGUAAGCAUAUUUUCCAAUUUAAAUAAUUCAUUGCUGCCUCUAGGAUUUUUCCUACAUUUGUAGUCAUAAUUGAAUAAAAUGCUCCAUUUUCUCCAUAUGUACAAAAAUCUUGCUUGGGUAUAUUUUCAAGAUUUUGUAGAACAAUUCUUGCUUCAAGGGAUUUUCGAUAAUCCAUUCUCUGUGAAUCCUUACGAUCAGCCCAAGUGCCAUUUGAUUCAGUAAAAUCAUGAGCUAGGCCUUAAAUACUUGAGUUUUUCUUUAAAAAAUAAAUAAAAAAAAUAUUGAUGUGUUAAGCCAAAAAAAGGGACUUUUGUUCUUGAAAGUGAUUUCCUUGUCUAAAAAUAAAGUGAACUUUACUUUCGAAAAAAUGUUUACUAAGACAAACUUAAAGUCAAAGAAAUCACUGAUGAGGUAAAACCAAGUCCUAAGAACCCAAAAACAUUGUGCAUUAGAAAAUAUGAAAGCGCCACCUCCCCCCCCCCCCAAAAAAAAACCCAUUUUAGAAUGGAGUUUUACCAUGACAUUAAUUAAUUAAUUCAUGAGAAAGAGUAAAUUAAACGAAGUAUAAAUCUAAAAUUGCAAAUAAGUAAGAGUUGAUGCAAAUGUCACACAAUACAUAGUGCUCCAAAAAUCGAACUUAACUUUUUUGGAAAUUAGAAUCUUUUCAUUGCAGGUCGAGGGCAUUCCCGAGUUCGACUCUUGAAAUGUUCUCUUUUUCACUCUUCUUGUAAGGUUUGGAAAUUGGAAUAAAACAACAAAAAGGCAUGUAAAAUAUAAAAGGAAAAACACAAAAAUAUGAAUAGAUGCACAUUACGAAUUUCCAAGGUGUCAGAUUAUGUGCAUCUAAAGACAGAUAUGUGACUGCUAAUUAGUAUACACAACCUAUAAAGGUCGAACCAAAAAAACUUGACCGUGCAACCCGCAGCUCAUAACCAGAUUGGCUUUUUCACCCUCCAUCCUAAUUUUUAACUCAUUAUACCCUAAACAUGCAGAUUUAUCCGACUUUGAUCCUUUUGUUAUUUGAGAAAAUCCGUGGAAUUUACUUGCGUCUGCAUCAUAUACUAUUAAUUAGCAUGUCAAAUUUCACUUUACAUGUUAUGACUGUCGGAGCAAUUUUGUGUAGCAUUUCGGACCUAGGCAAACAUGCAUUGAGACAAAGAUAUCACUGCUAGAGAUAUACUCCAUGACCUCCCCCACCAACCCCUCCCUCCCCCCCAAAAAAAACACAAAAGAAAAAAAUACAAGAAUCUCCUUAAAAAAUGAGAAAAGAGAAGAAGGAAAGAAAUUCAUGGAGAGAGAGAGAGAGAGAGCCUAACCGUGUACAAAUGGAAUAACUUUCCACGAUGACAUUUAUUACUACAUCAUGCAUCAUGAUACCGAUAACAACAAUAUCCCAAUCUAGCAUGUAGUAGGAUCAUCUUAUAUGUGAAACUUGCAGUACUGAUACAUUUCUAAUCAUUCUACAUUAAGCAUAAACAAGUUCCAAAUUGCCCCAAGAGAAAAACGGAGAGGAAGCUCUGCAAUGCUUAACAGGAUGAU